rnacentral:lncRNA from 1 species
AAUAUUCAACUUACUUGAUGUUUCUUUCAAGAAUCAAUAUGCCAUUAUGCAUUGAUCAUUAAUUUGCUUAUCGUGACAUAAAAACUAAAUACUUUUCCAUUAAACAAAGAAUAUGCAAGGCUCUUCCCCGUAAGAUAUUAGUGGUGCCGGCAAAUGAGUUGAAAAUGGGUCAAACAAAACUGAACUCGCUCAUAUUUCAUACACUAAUGGGUAUGAUCACUUUGCUUUUCAGGUUGACCAUUAGAUUUCUGAGAAUCCAGCAAGUUAAAUCAUCACAAAGAGGCAGAGGCUAAGCCAGAACAUCUGUGUUGAAACUGCAGCUGAAAGAAGCACACCAUUUCGUCAUUAAUAAGCUUCAAACAUACUCCAGUAGCCUUGAAAACAUGAUGUGUGAGAACCUUAAAAAGAGCACAUCAAUAAUGCACUACUUUGACAUAUGAACUGAACAUCACAACUCACAAGUGCAAUAAAUAAUGUUUCCACUAGAUUAAGCUGAUUGAAUAAAGAUUGAUUUUCACAAGAGAUGGGAACAGUGAAAAACAACCAACAUAAGCUUAAACCAACAUACUGAGACAUCAUUGACUGUUAGAACUUAUACAUCCAUGUACUCAGGGCAAAGGACUAUACUGUGUACCUACUUCACAUUCGAGUAAACAAGCAAGCAAGGGAAAUACCAUUAUUACUAGUAUCAAUUUAUCAAACACAAUCUUAUCUAGUAUAUUCAAACGUUUCCAAGUCAUGUUGGAUAGGAAGUUAAAAUGAGAAAUCUGGCAAGGAGACACCUCAUAUAUUAUGCAUUAGUAAUCUUGAAUACGAAUCAUGAUGAGCUUAAAUGAAGUAAGAUAAUAAAGAUUCAUAGAGUCGCCCCAACUAGCUUGAAGUGAGGCGUGAUAGUGGUUGUUAAUUGGAAGUCAGUGAGAAUGACAUAAAGAAAAAUCCAUCUGCUUAGAUACACGAAAUUCUGUCAAUAGCGACAGAUAAAUGUGCAAGCACAGUAAGAUAGAAAAAAUAAGUACCGCUGCUGCAUCUCAGUAGCAGGGACUGGACUGGAAAAGGAAACAUCCAUAACUGAAUCCAUUAAACAAUAAAAUGAUUGCCAAGACCAUAAUAGAUUAUCUGCAUUUCAAGAACAAGGAAAUAUUGUUUAGAUGAGUCAAUAUCAUCUUACCAAAAUAUUGCGAGUCGAGUCGUCAGAACAAACAGUUGAGAUAAGUACCUCAGAAAUCGACAAUAAAGCUGCCAAGAAAAAACAUGAGAACAUUCAUGAUUUGGAAGUUCACUAAGGUGUAUUCAGACAGUCAAUUGGAAAGUUUUUGGCAACUGAUUUUCUUUUCACUUGGUUAUUUGGCAACUCUCUUAUUUGCUCACUCUUAGAUAUUUCAAUUAUCAUAUAGAAAAUAUUUAAUACUCCCUUGUCUUAAGAUUCGUUGCUUAACAAGCCUUGACCACUAAACUAAAGGCCUAAAAUUGUGAAGAUUCACCAAAUCCAGCAUUCACCCAUCCACUCCAACCCCAAAUCCCCACUCCCAUUUUUUUUUAUAGAGAAUCUAAGAUUUCUCUCAUUGGAGUUCUAUUGUCAAUAGUUGAGAAAUUACAGUAAUCAAAAUUGAUGAGCUGUCACAAAAGGGAAAACAGAAUAGAUCAAAGUUAAUGACCCCGUAUCAUGAUUAAUCUAUUUCCAUAAAUAAAUGACCAGCUGUAGUCUACUGAUUUCUUAUCUGUCUAUAUAUUUUAUCCGUCGCCUCAGUCAGACAUUUUUAGAUUUUGAAAGCAAAUCCAACUCUAACGUUAGCAACAGUAGCUUCAACCUGAUUUGAACAGGAAUCAUUCAGAACCAGAUUUUAUGGGUAAACAAGGGCCAUGUUGCCAUUGUAGCAUCAAGCGUAAGUUCUAUUAACCACCUAUAUCCCGCCUUUUAUGUUUAUCAAUAAUCUCUUGCUUUACAGGAUAAUUGAUUCAGUGAUAUUUAGAAUUUAUGUGCCUGAUGUUAAGCAAAUAAACAUUGAAGAAUCACAUGCCUGAAACACUAAAUAACCAAAUUUCCCUAAAUUGCCGAUCUGUUAAACAUAAAACAUAGCGAACUUGAAUUUUCUCACCUCUCGAGCCAAAUGUUAAUUGAUUUUCAAAACAGCUCCCCUUAGUCUAACAGGAACCGAGGUCAUCUUGGAUAAAUUGUAGAUUUGGUCCCCAAUCCCUGGCAUAGAUGCACAUUUUGGACCCUGCUGUCUCCCGCUUCAUAUUUGGCACCAAUGACCCUGCUCCACAACAACUGUCUGUCAUUGGCAUAUCUCCAUAACCACUCCAUUCUAAGAGCUUUGCUUUGAAAUUCCAGAUUCUUUAUCCCAAGCCCCCAUUCUUCUUAGCAGUCAUCACAGAUUUCUAUUUUACCAGGUGGUACCCUUUCUUUUCUUUGUUUCCCAGCAACAAAAACUCUCUCUUAAUGUUGUCCAACCUUUUGAUAACCCCUGGUGGGAUGGGAAAUAAACGCAUCAUAUAAGUUGGUAAAGUAUCAAGGACUGAAUUAAUGAGAGUCGGUCUUCCUCUAAGGAGAGGUAUUGAGUUUUCCACCUGGCUAGCUUUUUUUCACACUUCUUUAUCACUCUAUCCCAUAUUUGUAUAGAUUUAGAUUUAGCCCCCAGAGGUAGUCCCAAGUAAAUUGAUGGCAGACUGCCAAAUUCUCCAUCAUGUAUAGCAGCUAGCCAGUUCACGUUGGUGACUUCAUUUAUAGGAUACAUUAGGAUCUUCCUCUAAAAUCUAUGUUGCUUGGACUCUCUGAAAUUGUUGCCGCACCCGUGUCGAAUUCUCCAAAAUGCACUACUUUUGGAGUAUCCGACAUGCACAACUUGACAUUUUUGAAAAAUCUGAGCAACAUAGACUAUAAUACCUACUCCAUUCCUACUCAAACUUCCUGAUUACCUUAACUUGAACCCACCUAUAUCCCUAGUCUUAGUUCCUACCCAUUAGGUGUCCUAAACACAAGGUAUAUUUUUAUUUUAUUUUGAUAACCGAGAAAUCCGUCUGUGACCCGCCCUUUGGACCAAUCACAGCCUUCUAAACUCAGUGGAUAAUGGGCCCGCCCCUCUACCCUUCUCCACUUAAAUACCAGGCUUCGCUUUGCAUGGUGUGGGGAUUGAACCUGCGACACAAGGUAUAUUGAUCCUCCUUCUCUUAAGAAUAAUCACCAACUCUAUUGACUUCCUCGCCAAUGUCCCUAUGUUCCAAGACAGAACUCUCAACCUAGGAGUUCCCUUGGUACCCUUACAACCCCUGCCCUCACCCCAAAUCACUGACAUGACUUUUAACUACCAUCAAACCUUUUGAAGCCACUAAUGCCAGUUAUAGAAUAAUCAAAAGUAAAUAAUCAAGUGGGGCAACCCGUAACGUCAAAAACCCUAGAUCCAAAAGUGGCAGUCACACAAUACAAUGAAGAAAAUAAAAAGAAGCAAUAAACUAUAGCAAAGAUACCAGUUCAAAGUAGGAACAAAGAAAAUGUAGUAAUAUUCACAAGGGCACAAUAAUAAAUUCACAAACACAAUAUCAGAUUUAAUAAAAUCAGUUAACAAUCAAGAAACGAUAAGGUCUGAACAAUCUCUCAAGGAAAAAUCAGGUCUAGAUAAGACAGGAAAAUAUAUAAAAGGGAUGGUGGAUCAUACCUAGGAGUUGAUGGGGAUAAAAAUAAACUAUGGACUGAUUUUCCGAAACCCAGCGAGCUCCGAUAUACUCCUGUCGUCUGUCGGUCGUCGGUCAUCAGGAUGGGGUCGCUGGAUUCUUGCUGACCGGUGUGGAAGUGCAACAAAAAAAAAACAGAGAAAGGGAGAAAGAAAGAGGGCAGGGGGAUUUCGUACCUGGUCGCCGGUGGUGGUGAGAGGUCAGGCCAGCAGCUUGCAGUGCAGGAGAGUAGUGGGUGAUCUGCUUUGGGGGGGGGGAGGGAAUUAUUUUACUGUUGAGCGCUAGAGAAAAGAAUAAGUCCCUGUUGAAUAUUAUACAGUUAACCACUGUCAGAUUAGAUGAUAGCAUUCCUCCUUAAAAUAUCAUGCAAAUAAAUGCAGUCUGCCAAGAGGUUAACUAUUUUGCAUGGUUCCUUAACACAACAAGCAAAUCCUUUUUAAUCUUUCCACCAUCAAGCUAGUUCAACUAUGUUGUAUGGUGCCAUAAGAUGGUGAUGAAAAUGUGUGUACACAUCCUAAAAGUCUAUAUAUGUUUCACAGAAAGAUAUUUCCUCUUGUUUUGCCAAAGAUAUUCCCCGCUAUACGUACUCUAGUUUCGUGACGCUUUUGUUCUCGUACAGUACAUUCUUAACCUUUUAAAGAAAAUCUUAAUUGUCAAUGGUCAUUGUGCUUUAGUUUCUGAGAUAAGUUACCUGUAAGAUUUUAUUCAUAUUUUGUCCCAUUUAAAUGCUAAUUAAUUGUGAACUCAAACAGAAACCCCCCUAUGGAGACCUGGGCCAACUGCAAAACCAGUGCUCUGCAAUGCGUGUGGAAUAAGAUGGCGAACUAGGGGAACACUAGAUGACUAUCUUCCCAAACAUGCAAGCAACGAAAAACAGAGCCAUCAGUUACCUUCUGAGAUGAAGCCGCAUCUCUUAGCUCGUGAUGACCAAAAGCUGGAAGUUGGUGAAGAGAUUUCUGGACAGGAUGGCUCUUCAGCUUGUCUUGAAGAGGAAAUGAUUCACAUAUCAAGCUUAGGUUCAGCAGGAUCAUCCCCAGACAAAUGCAUGCAAAUGGAAGAAACAAAUGGUAAAAAAAUUUCACUUAUAUAUACAUGAUGGACUUAACUGCACCAUCUCUUUUGACUCUUGCUGCCACCUCUCCUAACCCAGCUCUUUAACAACUCUAAAGUAUGUUCUGGCAUUGUCCAGUUCAGACUAGAGAUGCUGAGAAACAAAUUCCAGGUUUGCUUAGUAAAUUACAAGGCAAGAAUAGGUGGCUGUCAGUUUCUCUUGUCAAAUUGCAUAAAAAGCACCUAGGGACCAGCUGUCUGCCCUUCUUCUGUAGUACUUCCUGUGUUAAACAUGCCCUCUUUAUCAGUAGCCAAGUGAGACAUUUCACUUUUGUAGGAAUGUCCCCACUCCAGAAAUAGUUCCAGAGAUGUUUUGGAUCCCCAACCAUCAGCUGGAGACCUCUUCUGUAGACACUGCUAACUGAAUAAAGACCACUUUUUUUAAUGAUUCCACAACAUCUUGUCUGUGGAAAUUGUAUACAUACUCAUUCCACCUAUCUUCCCUAGUAACUCUGCAACCUUUUCCACCUCCCAAUCAUUUACAAGUCUUCUGAAGGCUAAAUCCCAUCCCUGUUCUGGCCCAACAGGCACCUACAUUAGCAUCAGGAUUCACACAAAUUUGGAAGAGAUUCUUUAGAGGGAACUGUUCUAUCCAGAAAUCUUUCCAAAAUCUUGUUUUACUGUCAUUUCCCACUUUGAUAUAAAAGUCUGCCUUCAUUUGAGGCCACAAACUUCUGAUUGUUCUCCAUACUCCCACACCCCUUAAGGUUCAACUGUGUUCUCUGUACACCAUGGGGUUAGCUCACCAUACUCGGCUUUAAUCACCUCUUUCCAGAAAGCAUUUCUCUCCUCAAUGUACCUCCACAAACGACUUCUUCAGAAGACUUCCAUUUUACAAUCUCAAAUUUCAAAUUCCCAGCACCCCCCCCCCUGUCUUUGUUAAGGAGUACAGUCUUCCAGUUUACCACAGGAGAGGAGUUUAGAUGCCCCGAAAGGACCUCUAAAGGUUUAUCUUGGAGUCCAUGUCUGGGAGCGACAAGUAUUUGUAAGAUAGUAUCUAGGUCGUGUCCUGAAUCAAAUCCUUUCUUAAGUGUAAGGGUUAUAAGAAAGUGGAAAACUAAUAUAUUUAACCAUACAAAUUUUUGUAACAGCUUACCCCCCACUCCCACACACAAAAAAGAAAAGAAAAUAUCUAUUGUAUUAGUACCUUAUUGUUUUAUGUGCACUAAUGUUCACCUUCUUUUUGAAGAAGCAGACAAAGAUCCUCACCUGAAUCCUGACAGUGUCCCAAGAAGAAAGAUAUCAAAGCUUAGACAUAGCAUUUUGUCACCUGCUCAAAUCCAGAGGACACUUGAUAACAAUCUCCAGGCACCAGGCUUUGAAAUAAUAUCUGACGGAGAUGAACCUGUUACUCUAAUUUAUGCAAGGAACAAAUACAUUCCUCCUAAUGAGAUUGGUCUUGGAGCUAUGCUGCUAGUAUCACCAACUACUACUAUAGAACGCUCGACGCCUCAAUCAGCAAUGGCAGAAGAUACUGUCUCUUGCUCAAUGGAUGUUUCUAAAUAAAAUUCAUCUACAAGUGAAUUUUUAGAUACAUGCAUAACAGUCAAGCUGGUAUGUGAAGCCAGCUCUUAUUGUCUAGCUAGUGCAAUGUUGGCUAAAAACAAUUUGGGCUGUUCCAACUUUACGGAUUUCCCCAACAGCAACUCGCAACAGUCUGGGUGUUUUGAGACCAUCUAGUUUGUCUUGUUCUGGAUAUUCAUAAUUUCUUCUGCUUUAUUGGAUGGAAUUUUUAGACAUGUCAAUUCUGCUUUUUGGAUGCAUUUAAUAUGUCAAUUCCGAAGUUUAUAACGCGUGCUUACCUACAAGUUUUUCAGUUUGUGUGGACUACACAGUAGACUAAAAUUGUAACAUCACAAAGGCCAUUUGACGUACAUAUGUUUGGCAUUACAACUGUAAUGUCUUGCAUUGUACUUGUUUCAGGAGAAACAACAAUGUACUAGAUCAUGUGGCUAUGCAAAAUGAAACUACUGGAAAUAAGGAUGGAAAAGCAAAUGCAUGUGAUAAUGGACUCGCUCCACAUCAUAUGGAUACUACAUCAAGGGUAUGUCAAUAAAUUGUUCUAAAAAAGGCUGCUGCUAUUGAAUUUUCUUCUGUAUAUGGAGAUGAACAUCUUAUUAUUAAAGAAAUAGGCAUAUCAGCCUCAGCAUAAGAUAUGCUCAACCACAAAAAGUUCAAAAAUAAGUCUACCAAAAAGUCUCUUCGAUCUCCUUUUAAGUUAUUAGGACAAGUUAAUAAGACACUACACCUUCCAAUAAUUGCUACACUAAAGAGAAGCUAGAGAGCCAUUAUUAAAUAAUCCAAGAGCAAUUGAGACCGAGAAUAAUUUAGUACUGAGUUUCAUUAAUGCCCCCAAGUGGCAACAUAGCACUCUUCAAAAUAGAUUUAUACUUUUAUAUUACUUAGUAGACUUUGAAGUAAUAAGAAGUAGACUUAGUAAAAGUUAAACGACAACACUCCUUUGGUGACAUUCCUGAUUCCACAACUUAUAUUGCUACUCUAGCAACAAAUAUUGCAGAAACCAAAACAAUGAAUUAACUAUUCACAACCAUAAAACUUCAUAGAAGGCCAUGAAGUACUAAAACAAAAGAAAGGGGCAAAAGAGAGUGAAAGAUAUUACUCCUUCGAAAAGGAAAAUGGGACGUGGGAAAAGAUGUGAAAUGUUAGAAUCUGUCAUUCUUUUGUUCAGUGGCAGAGCAAUGUAAGUAAUGAUAGCUGAAAAAGGAAACAGAUAAGCAUAUCUUAGGCUCCGGAGCAUCAUACAACUGAAAAAGGCUACUUAUGGGUUGUACUUUCGUAUUCUUAGUUUUGUUUGAAACAUAGGAUGCUUAAGAUACAAUUUUAUGCCAAAAAAGAAAAAGAAAAAUGGUGGAGUGAAGAUUUUCUACUAUAUACUCAAGUACAAGAAUGAAUCUUGAUGGAAGGAACAUAACAUGAUAGCUUAACACAAAACUUGCAACUGUGGAUUUCAAAGUCAAAAAAUACACCUUGUUGUCUUUCGGUUUAACUUUCCUUCUUUAUCGGCAAGCCUAUUUCUGUAUUUUUGCUUCAGGGUAUAUGCUUGUGACGUUACAACUACAUCCCGAGCAGACGAUAUAGGAUGCUUAGGGGUUGUACCUUCGUAUUCUUAAUUUUGUUUGAAACAUAGGAUGCUUAAUAUACAAUUUUAUGCCAAAAAAGAAAUUUAAAAAUUGUGGAGCGAAGAUUUUCUUCAAUAUACUCAAGUACAAGAAUGAAACUUGAUGGAAGGAACACAACAUGAUAGCUUAACACAACUUGCAACUGAGGAUUUCAAAGUCAAAAAAUACACCUUGUUGUCUUUCGGUUUAACUUUCCUUCUUUAUCGGCAAGCCUAUUUCUGUAUUUUUGCUUCAGGGUAUAUGCUUGUGACGUUACAACUACAUCCCGAGCAGACGAUAUAGGAUGCUUAGGGGUUGUACCUUCGUAUUCUUAAUUUUGUUUGAAACAUAGGAUGCUUAACCUACAAAGUUAAUUAUUUCAUCAAAAGGGAAGUAGAAUUUAUGGGAGAUACAAUUUUAUGCCAAAAAAGAAAAAGAAAAAUGGUGGAGUGAAGAUUUUCUACUAUAUACUCAAGUACAAGAAUGAAUCUUGAUGGAAGGAACAUAACAUGAUAGCUUAACACAAAACUUGCAACUAAGGAUUCCAAAGUCAAAAAAUACGGUUUGUUGCCUUCGGUUUAACUUCCCUUCUUUAUCGGCAGGCCUAGUUCUGUAUUUUUGCUUCAGGUGUAUGCUUGUGAUGUUACAACUACAUCCAGAGUAGACGAUAUAGAAAGUAGUUAAUGGACAUGUACUUUCACUAAUAUUGUUGUUCCACACACCAUAUAAAAUCCUUUUACUUGUCAAAAUAAUCAUUAUACAUCAACAGCAAAACAUAUGAUUUUAAAAAAUAACAAUCAAGUCAUCUUGGUUUCCUAAAAUGACACUUAUUUCAUAUCAACUUUGAAAGGCUAAAACAACAUUUAAAAUGGACUGGAGGUAGUACCAUUUAUUUUCUUUUUUCUUCAUAGUGCUAUUUCUUUGAUAAGGUAAACUUAACCCCAUACCCAAGAGCCCAAUAAUGACUCUUUUUCUCACAUUGCGCCAUCAGUGACUCAAACCUCUUGUUAUAUAUAAAGGUGGAGGUUCCUUACCACUAGACCAUCCCUCCGUGUCACAUUUAUAUACUACUUAUAUAAGAGCUUUUAGGAGUUAUAUGUUACAUGCAGUAGUCAAUUCCGUACUCCAAUGUUGCUCUCUUCCAAUCACACCUCAUUUCUAACAUUUAAGUCCUUCUAUUCCCUAGGCCAAAUUUGUGUUGUAUAACCUCUUUCCAUAGUGCAUGCUCCUCUUGGUUGUACCUCCAUAGCCACUUGCUUAGCAGACUUUUGUUAUGUAACAUGAGCUUCCUUACUCCCAGACCCCCAUUAUUCCCCCUUUGUUGAACUUCUGCCCAUUUUACUAAAUUGAAACUGUUAGAAUAUGAAUAGGUUUAUACAAUCCUAUUAGAAUAGGAAUAGGUUUAUACAAUCCUAUUAGAAUAGGAAUAGGUUUAUACAAUCCUAUUAGAAUAGGAAUAGGUUUAUACAAUCCUAUUAGAAUAGGAAUAGGUUUAUACAAUCCUAUUAGAAUAGGAAUAGGUUUAUACAAUCCUAUUAGAAUAGGAAUAGGUUUAUACAAUCCUAUUAGAAUAGGAAUAGGUUUAUACAAUCCUAUUAGAAUAGGAAUAGGUUUAUACAAUCCUAUUAGAAUAAGAAUAGGUUUAUACAAUCCUAUUUAGAAUAGGAAUAUGAAUACAAAUAGGAAUAGUUAAUAGUAUCCAACUUGGUAAAUGAUUGUAUUCUAGUGUCUAUAAAUAGGGUCUCAAUGUAAUAAUGUAGAGACAACAACAAUUCAAUAAUAUUCUUUUUCAACAUUUCUCACAAUUGAGACAACAUUCCUCCAUAUGAUAUCAAAUUCACUUUGUCCCAUUUCAUCGCAUCCAGUCAUCAUUUAUGUGCUACAACUUAAUGCAAUAAAGUCAAGCUAAAACCAACUUAUCAUCAAAAAAUACAUGUUAUGGUAAAAACCUUAUCAUCAAAAGAAAUCUACCAUUGUCUUUUCAUCACUACUCAUAUCUACAAAUUAAUUACUUCUUGAAGUGACAAAAGAUGUUCUCUUUAGCUUAAUAUAUUUUCUAGCCCUUUGAUUCCAAUAAUUUAGCUGUAUUGUCUUAACAUGUACAUUCAUAGUGCAAUAUUAUCCAAAGUAUGUACAACUAAUUGACAUGACAAGUUUUAGUAUGAUUGCAAGUAUCACGAUGAGUCAUGGUAACCAUACUUGUUCAACCUGAUAAAAGAAAAUAGCAAUCAGAUAAUCCCCACAGCCAAAAAUAGUGCUAACAUAGAGACUUGAAAUUAGUGCUAGAAAGGAAUCGUAAAAAGCAUUUCAAAGUUAAGAGAAUAUGAGGACAAAUCAAAGCACCGGUACCUACUACUCUAUUUAAGUAACCUUACCAUUAUGUCAAUAAAGACUACAAUCAUAAGGAAAAAUCCAACAAUUUAUCCGUAACUCCUCCAUGUUUUUGUUUGUUCCACUUCAUUGCUCUUUUCUUUUUCGUCAAGUAACUGAAUCUAUGUUUCCUUCCUUUGCAUCUGUUGCAAAUAACACAUCUUCUGUCUCUUUUCCUCAUAAUCUCUUGGGUAACUUAUCAAUCCAUCAAAAAAAAAAAUGUAAUUAAGAGGUUAUAUUUAUAUCCUUCGAGUAUAAACAUAUUGAUACUUGAAACUGCACAACUGAGUCCAUCUGGAAGAUCAGCACCUAAAAUCCUAAAUGAGCAAAAUGAAUAGUUUCAUUUGUACUAACUGCCAGAAAACUAAAUAAAAAAUCUUCUAGUUAAGAUAACAGCUGCAUUAUUAAUCAUCCAGUUUGUGAGGUAUUUCCAUUCAUUCCAAUAAACUGAAACAGAAAAUGUGGAAAGCACCCGAAGUAGUAAACAACUAAUAGACUCAUCACACGGAGGUAGAGACACAAUUUGAUCUGUUGAAAACACAAUUCAACAAUCAGUUUAUUUAUUUCUAUGGAUACAAUACACUUCUUAAUUUUAAGAAACUUCUUCUUCCAAACAUCUCUUUGGCUUUUAUCUAAGAAUUGACAUGCCACCUCUGUUCUGUUUUUUUGGUAUAUACAAGAAAAUACAAAUAUACAAGUGUUUCCUCAUCGACAAUCUUCUUUGCAGUCUAGAACUAAAAUUGAGAAUUUCAAAAGCAAGUCAGGUAAUAGUGUAUGUUCAAUCUCUUUUGUGAUUUGGUACAUCCUUGCAUAUUUCAUAACAACUACUUGAGGUACCUUAUUUAAUUACUGCUUGACAUUAAUUGCUCGAGGUCUCCAGCCAGAAACUAUAUUUUCGAAGAGCUCGGUGUGGAGCAAAAAUAGGAUAUCCUAGAGGUCAACAACGGCUCUCGACAACUUAAGCUACAUCUCUGCUUAAAUUUGUUUCGGUUAAUGAAUCUACUUCUAGAAAGCUCUACAAAAUUGAAAUCAAACAAAUAUCAUAUAUUUGAAAGACAUGUGUUGCUAUAUCUACCGGCAUCAACAGACUUAUGCAGACAUAGGCACAUUUCAAUUAAGUAAAUUUUUUAUAACCGGAGAAAUCCCCGAGGUUCCAAACUCAGUGGAUCUUGAGCACAGCUUCUUCCCACCCACCUCCUAUCCAUCCCCCAACCCCAGCCCACCCAAAAAGAGGGUAGUGAAUUUGAAAGCACUUCUGAACCUUUUUAAUUUAUUAGAAAGCACCUUAAAUAGAAUCUUGUAAAUGCUUCCUACCGGACUAAUAGGUCUAUAGUCCUUUAUACUUGUCACACCUUCCUUCUUUGGCACAUUAGUAACAAAGGAUGCAUUAAGACUUUUCUCGUACUCCCCUGAAUUCUGAAUUCUGCAAUGGUCACCAACAGCUCACAUUUGACUAUCCUCCAACAUUGUUGGAAAAGAGCAAACGAGAAUCCAUCAGGACUUGGAGCCUUGUCACCCAGACAACUAUCCCUCACCUCUUCUUCUUCUACAGCCCUUUCCAACCACUCCCUCACCCCCUCCCCUAUUAGGUUAAAUACUAGCGCCCCCCAGAAUUUUUGUCUCCACCUGAUAACUUCCUUGAACGAAUGUUCAUAAAACCAUACAAUGGCCUCCUCCACUUCCGCCUCCCCCUCACGCGCCUAUAAAAACGAUAAAGUUUCUCUUCCUAUUUGCUAUGGCUACCCUAUGAAAGAAUUUUUUGUUAGAAUUCCCCCUCUUUCAACCACAAUGCCCUCAAAUUUUGCCUCCAACUAGUCUCUUCGGCAACCGCUAGAGCCGCAAGCUCCCUCUUUGCCUACUCAUAUCUGACCUUCUCCCUUUCUUCUAACAUCCUCAUCCCUUCCACAUGCUCAAUCUCCCCCACCUCAUUUAUUAGCUCUCUUAUUUUAAACUUUCACCCUCCCAAACACCUCUUUGUUCCAUUUACUUAUAUCUCCGUUUACAAUUUCAACUUACAGGCAAGUCGAAAAGAUGGUGUGCCAGUUUUUAUUCUUGAAAAACUUCAAACUAUAUUAAAAAUAAAUAUCACAUGACUUGAGCAACUAAAUAUGAUGGGAUCCAGUUUUAGUAGCCCAGUGAUUCAGGCAAUACAAUUUUUAGUCAUUUUAUUCUCGUGACAGGGAAAUUUCCCCAUAGAACUAAGAAGAGAUGUCUAUAGAUAUUUCAUCAUAAGCCAUACCACGGCAUUCAACAAUUUCUUUGCUAAAUUCAUACCUACGAUCAAGUCACAAUAUGUCAGAAAGUGCAAUAACAGUUAUCCUGUUACAAUAAAUAGACACAUAGAAACAUAUACAUUAAGAUGUCAAUAACCUAUAGGUCAAGAUAAAAUACCAACAUAUUCUAUUUGGAAAUACUUCGAAAAUACUCUCCACACAAUUUCUUCUUGUUCCCCUGUAUAAAAGGCAACGUGGUUAACAGAGCACCAAAUCUCAGGUAAGCUUCCUAUAGACUUCUCAACAUAACUAGAAAGCCGUAAUCUGAAAGCACUUUUAAAUAAAUUUUAGGAAUGCUAGUAAAGGCCAAAUUAGUUAUUUUCUACACCUUCAAGAUUUAUCCUACCCUUAUCUUCUAGAACUCUAUAGUGUUCCAUUGUUCUUUAGAUGUUUUUAGCUGGUACAAUAUCUUACAAAAGUAGAAAAGACAGAAUUUUUAACUACUUUGAUGUACAUUACUCGAGCUGAGGAUCUUGCUGAAAUAGCCUCUCUACCUCUACGAGGUAGGGGUCUGUGAACACUCUAUCCCAGACCCCGCUUAUGGUUCUACAUUGGGUUUGUUGUUGUUGUUGUUAGCAGAGGAGAUGAGCACCACUCAUGGAAUGUCGGAACACCUGUUACAGGUUCCUGCAUUCAAAUACAAGACCAGUGAUCCAAAACAAUUCAGUUUCUGGUAAUUCAUAUUCGCUACUGGUUUUGAUUUUGCAAAAUCUAGGUUCCACAGUUUUUAGUUACCAAAAAAAUGAAAUUCCUGAUCCCUGUUUGAUAAAAUAAACCAAAAAAUUGAACCGUGUGGUAGAAGGGAAUAUUCCCACCUCGAACCCUGACUGAAUUCCCACCUCAAACUUCAACAGUGUUGGUAUAAGGGAAAAUUUUAGAAAAUUUCCCAGUCCCUUGGAAUGAUGAUGACUUCUGUCCUCAGUUAGCCAGAAGCGUUUUCUUCAUCCAUGAAAAAGAGAACUACAUAAACAAAUUUUAUAGUCCUGUUAAAUUUUCCAGUGUUUUACUUGGAUUAGAGGAAAAUUUGGACUUUGUGCUGUAUUAUUUCACCAAAAGGAUACCCGUACUUGCAAUCUUUGCAUAUGAUCUCUGUUUAUCUUAGACUUUUGGUCCAUCAACCAAAGCAUGCCACAAACUACUAAACAAGUCUCACAUAAAAUUCAACUUCUCACCUUUGGUAUAUCACUUGUAGGUUUAUAUUUCGGUGGCAACAUAUGCUGACUUAGAGAUGAAUGGUGAAUUAUCAAUGAAGAUUUUUGUCUGAUCGUAGCAGGGUUAUUAGAAACUUGCAACCAACAACAGUAGAAAUUUUCAUAAUAGCCUACAACUUUUGCUUCCACGUUAAACAUAAACAGUAUGAGUUUAACAAUAAAAGUGCAGCUAUAAAAACAUAAUCAUGUCUGAUACUUUGAAGAGUUUGUUUGGAACUUGGACAACUAUAUUGAUGUUUAUAUCUUAUACUGAAAUUAAUUUGAAUAAACCUACUUGACAAAUGCCAGAAACUUGACGAAGUUACAUCUACCUAAACGGCAUAAACAGUAUAUCAACUAACAAGAACUAAUCACAAAGAAAGGGAAACCAAGAAAAAGUAAGAAAAAAGAGAGCAACAUUCCAAGAUUCAGUUUUCCAGAUUCAAGAAUGCAAGAAAGUGGAGAAAUUGAAAAGUAUGUUCUCAAGAAUAUAUAUGGAAAAAUAUGAAGUAGGAACAAAUAGUACUUGGUAGUAUUUAAUAAAAGCUCAACAAGGAUUUCAGAUGAAUACAGAACAUAUAUAUUACAGAAGAGAACAAAUUAAGGAUACCUUUAUCACCUAACUGGUAGUCCUUAAACCUCAACUCCUCCUGGCUUUUAUCUUUAUAAGUCUGCAUUAUAUUCCACAAAUGGAUUGAAUUUUUCCACCACCGGGUCCUGUGAUAUCGUUCUCUAGAGUUGCAAUAUAUGAUGUUAUUCUACUUCCUUUCUGAUUAAUGCCAAAUGCUGACUUUCCAAAACCAGAGCUCUUGAGAAAGGGUGGUCUGUACUUUCUUUUCCUGGUUUGCAAAUUUGAUCAAGAUUGAACACUUAAAGAUAUCAAAAAAUAUGAAGUAGGAAUAAAUAGUACCUAGUGGUAUUUAGUAAAAGCUUUCAGAUCAAUAUAGAGCAUAUAGAUUACAGAGAAAAAUUCUCCCUCAAAACGUUGAUUAAUCUGCUCCAAUACAUGAGAAAAUGGACAAUAAAGUUAACCUUUGCACCCUAACAUGGAUUCUUCUGGUUGGCCAAAGGAGUAUGAAUCAAGUCUUGGGGUGCCAAAGUGUGAGUUGCUUGAAACAACAAAUGCAGGAGCUCUUGGAUAUCCAAGUAUGGAGGAAUCUGAGACAUUGACAUCCCUGGACCACACUAGACGUUCAUUGGCCACACUAAUAAAGUCAUAUUUCUUUCCAAGGUAAAGUGGAGGAGCCCAAAGAUACGUUUUGUGUUUGACCAGAUGUAGCAUUUGUUGCUGCACUAAAGUCUAAUGGUACUGCAGUUAGGAAAGCAGAUUGAAUUGAUUUUCUAAUCACUAAUUAAAGACAACUACAAGCAUGAAUACCUGGCACAAGAUCGGUUCUAGAAAUUGUAAGCAAUAACACUACCCACCAUAAGAAAUCCCACUGAUGUACUGCAGUUAUUACUAACAUUUUUUUAGAAGCGUACAACUCAAGAAGCAUAGCUACUUCCACAAGGAGCAGAUUUAGCUUUUCGACCAAUUCCAAAGCCGCCUUGCUUCUCUAGAAAAGUAAAUAUGAUAUCUCUUCUUUCAUGAAAUUGGCAGUAGUAAGUGUAGCAUCUAUAAAUGUCAAUCCUCACCUUGACCACAGGCGAGAAAGAAUGCUACAAUUAAUCCAUUUGGCAAAGAAAUCAUUGGGAAAAACAUAUUCAAAGAGUGUGUGUAGGUCAUUCCCUAUUUCCCAUGCAAUAGCCUAUGUGGUCUUUCUGCUGAGACAUAGUAAUGCACCAAAAUCAAGCUAGAAACAAAAUUAAGUUUUGAAGAAUAUGCAAGAAAGUUGGAAAAUGUUGUUAAGAGUGUAUGAAAACAAAUUCUUGGUAUCAAUCUUUUUUUCUUUUCUUUUCUUUUCUUUUCUUAUAGUAGUGUUAAUCUACGUCAUGCCACUUUUCUUGGAUCCGCGUUACAUGGAUUGUUGAACCUGAUUUCAACUAAAUUGAUUCAUAUGCUUAUGUAGUAAUGUAGACUAUGUGUACUAAUUAAUACCAAGAACGUUCUCUUGGGAUUACAAUAUAUAGAAACAGAUAUAUAAUGGAUUUGGAAAAGGGUAAAUUAAAGGGGAACCAAGAAAAAGGAAGAAUAAGAGAGCAACAUUCCCCAGAUUCAGUUUUCUGAAUUCAAGAAUGCAAGAAAGUGGCGAAUGCCAUGGUAUGGAGAUUGUACCGACCACAUAAACUAUCAAGUAACAACAUGUAAGUAAUGAAAGAAAAUUUACAAAUACUCAUAAACACAGGACACAAUGCAUCAAAAGCCCUAAAGAAUGAAAUUUUACUCACUUGUAGCCGUGAAUAUCGACGACAGACAGACAGACAAAACAAAGAAGAAGGACCCUUUUGAUUGUCAAUGUUUUGGAAUGGUGGAAUAUAUAUAGAGAAGAAUAAGAAGAAGAAAGGUUGCAUAAUCUUUCUUAACCUGUUGCUUAAGCUAAUAUCCUUUCCAGCUUGCUAUUUAAGCUAAUAUACAACUAAUUAAAAGACAUGUUUUUUUCCCUCAAUUAUUACUUAAAAUAAACUAGAUACAAAAAUUCAGGCUUAUUAUUUUAAUUUUUAAUUUAUACGACAUAAAUAGAAUUAGGAGAGUCAACUAAUUUUUUAAAUAUUUUUAUUGUUAAUUAUUUAUAUAAUAUUUUUCAAAUAAUAUAAAUAGAAUUAGGAGAAUCAACUAAUUUCUUAAAUAUUUUUAUUGUUAAUUAUUUAUAUAAUAUUUUUCAAAUAAUAUAUGUGGCACUUGUAGCGAUGAAUAUCGACGACAGACAAAACAAAGAAGAAGAAGAGGAGUCCCUUUUGAUUGUCAAUGUUUUGGAAUGGUGGUAUAUAUAGAGAGAAUAAGAAGAAGGUUGCAUAAUGUCUACGCAUAUAUUAAAUCGUAAGCGUAUUUUUCUUACUCUUUAAGUUAAUAUCCUUCUCAUAUACGAUUAAUUAAAAAACACGUUUAUAUAUAGAAGAAGAAGAAGAAAUGUUGCAUAAUGUCUACGCAUAUAUUAAAUCGUAAGCAUGUUUUUCUUACUGUUUAAGCUAAUAUCCUUUCCAGCUUAGUGUUUAAGCUAAUAUCCUUCUCAUAAACGAUUAAUUAAAAAACACUUUUUUUUCUCAAUUAUUAAUAAAUUAGAAACAAAAAUAAAGGCAAGUUCGGAUCCAAUAUAUAUUAGUUUAUUUAUUUUAAUUUAUGUAACACAAAUAGAAUUAAGAACGUCAAUUAAAUUUUAAAAUAUUGUUUUAUUGUUAAUUAUUUAUACAAUAUUUUCAAUGUACUUUUCAAAUAAUAUAUGUGGCACAUGUAAUAUUUAGAGAGUUUAUCAAUAUUUUAAAUUGUUAAUUAUUGUGAUUUAUGUUACACGUGAAAUUUGGAGAGUUAAUCAAUUUUUUAAAUAUGUUUUAUUUUAAGAAGACACAUACUUUAUAUUUCUUAGUUAAUAUAAUUUUUAAAUAAUAUAUAUUACCCCUUUUGUCUCAGUUUAUGUGACAUAGGUGAAAUUUCAAAAGAUAAUCAGUUUUUUAUUAUAUUUUUAAAAAUAUUUUAAGUCAUUAGUUAUUGAGAUUUAUAGUAAUUUUAACGUAAUUUUCAAAUAAAUUAUGUUACUCUCUUAGUCCCAAUUUAUUCCGCAUAAUCGAAAUUUUGAAAAUUAAUCAAUUUUUUUAUAAGUAAUUUCUGAAUACAUGAUAUUAAGAAAAAAUAAACAAAAAUAAUUAAAUAUAAAAUAGAUGAAUUCUAAGGAGAAGGGCAAAUCGAUACCCAUGUAGUUAUUACAAUUUUGAAUAUUACAAUUAUUCUUGUAGCACCAUAGUACUCCAUCUCCAUUAAAAAAUAAUCAAACAUAGCAAAAAUAAAAAAUAAAAUCAUCCAAAUUCAAGUAUAUAAAUAAUUUUAAACGUAAAAUAAAAAGAUAUUAAUUAUUAAAUCUUUGCAAACUAUAUGGCCUAUUUGUUGGUGUUUUUUGACGAUAAUAAUUGAUAAAAGUAUGUGUGACAAGUAGAAUUAAAGAGUUGUUACCACUUUUUGUCUGUGUCAACCCUCCUGGUCCAUGACGUUUAGCCUUGUGCUUGAGCCACCCAUGUAAAUAUCGUCGCAAAUAUGACAAGCAGAACAACUUUUCCCGUGACCUUUCGUAGCUUAUGUUGGAAAGAGAAAAGAAAUAAAAAAGACAGAGAGUCCAAAUAUGAGGUGUCGGUUUACUAAGCACUUGUUGGCUGUUGCAACACAAAAUUAGUCAAAUAAGAUAUGUCGAGGGAUAGUGCUAUUUAUAAGCAAGAAAAUGCGAAGAUUAGAUAUAAAUGAUUCUUUGGCAUGUAAACAAAUUAGUUGUCAAUGAACAAUGACAUCUCAACUUGUCACACAGGUUUUUAUUAAUUAUUAUUGACAAAUUUGUAUCCAACCUACUGUUUAAGCUAAUAUCCUUCUCGGUUUACUAAGCACUUGUUGGCUGUUGCAACACAAAAUUAGUCAAAUAAGAUAUGUCGAGGGAUAGUGCUAUUUAUAAGCAAGAAAAUGCGAAGAUUAGAUAUAAAUGAUUCUUUGGCAUGUAAACAAAUUAGUUGUCAAUGAACAAUGACAUCUCAACUUGUCACACAGGUUUUUAUUAAUUAUUAUUGACAAAUUUGUAUCCAACCUACUGUUUAAGCUAAUAUCCUUCUCAUAUACGAUUAAUUAAAAAAUAAGUUUUUUUCUCAAUUAUUACAUAAAGUCAAAGUCACCACUAAAGUGUUCCGGAUUUUCAUAAAGACACCUUAACUUUGGGGACGUCCUAUUGUCCCACAAAAGUAUUGAAUAUAUAUGUAAAUGAACAUUUUGACGAUUUUCUCUACUGUGAACACACGCGUGAUACUCACUCUUUUAAUUAAAUCUAAUUUAAAUUGAUUUCUUCAAACCAACCAAACCCGAAUCAUUUCAAAAAAGAGAUCUCUUGUUCUCCAUUUUUCAUUUCUUAGUUUAUGUCUGCAUUUUCUUCAAUCAGAGGCAUUGUUGAAGAUCAUCUCCUACAAUUUCAACGUUUGUUUGCCAAAUUUCUUGGAGUACUAGCUUAUUAAACAAGGAAUUGAAGGUUAACAUGUUUGAGAUUAAAUGAUAAAUGAGGGGGGAAAGAGUGAUAUUAGGGCUUUAAGUCGUCUAUGUGGAGGUGGGGUGUGUUUGGCGUGCACAUGUGGAGUCCAUGUGGCAUUUUAGCACCACACGUGGAUGUUUUUGUUAAACAGAAGGGCAAGCGUGGUCCAAUAGUUAGACGGAAAGGACAUUUUUGAGCCGAAAUACAGUUUAAGGCUAUAUUUAAGCUAUUUCGAAUAGUUUAAACGUAGUUUUGACCCUUUUCCGUAGUCGUCUAUGUGGAACUGGGAUCUGUUUAACAUGCACGUGUGACAUCCAUGUGGCGUCCAUGUGGCAUUUAACACACACAUGGAUACUUCCGUUAACUAGAAGGGUAACAUUGCCCAAUAGUUUGACGGGAAAGGUAUUUUUUAGCCGAAAUAUAAUUUAAGGAUAUAUUUAAGCUAUUUCGAAUAAUUUAAGCAUAGUUUUGACCUUUUUCCAUUCCUUUUAUUCUAUUCUAAAAAAAAAAAUUGACCCCUCAUAUACUUGGAAAUUAUUUAAUUUAGCAUUCAUAAAUUGCCCUCCAGUCCAUUUUAGGUAAUUUUUAAAAGGUUUGACCAGAUUCUCAUUAAUAAAAUGAGUUAUUUUAUUCAACAUUUGUUCAAUAUUUUAUUAGACAAGGAUAAUUUUGGAAAAAAAGUUAUUAAUAAAUUUAUAGAAUUUUAAAUUCCACAACCAUAUUUAGACAAAUUUUUAAUGUUACAUUACUACCAUGCAAAUCUGAAUUAGUGAAGCAAAUACAUUUUUGAACAAUGAAUAAUUAAAAAGAAUCACAUCAACAACAAUAUAAAGAUAUUCAGAAGCAAGACUUUUAAUUUUAUAAUUGGACACUAGACCAUUAAACUAUUACUCCUUAUUUGUUAAAAUCAACUAAUUGAAGAUUGAAAGGUACUAUUUGGUCAACCAUUGCCAAAGCUAAAAAUGGAAAUUUAUAGUCAAAGCAAUUACCAUUCUUGAAACAAAGCAAGUACAUAAUAAAUUGUCCCAAUGAGAUGACUAAACGUAAUCACAGAUGCUUAAUUUUGGUGAAUAAAUUACUCGAUAUUUGUGCUGACGGCGAGGCUGCCUUGCUUGUCUUGUUUUAGUGGCCAAUACUCAAUGUACUUGAUGUUUCCUUUAGGAAUCAAUAUGCCAUUAUGCAUUGAUCAUUAAUUUGCUCAUUAUCGUGACAUAAAAACUAAAUACGUCUUCAUAUAAAGAUUAAACAAAGAAUAUGUAAGGCUCUUCAGUGGUGACGGCAAAUGAGUUGAAAAUGGGUCAAACAAAACCGAAACAUAACCCAACUCGCUCAUAUUUCAUACACUGGGUAUGAUCACUUUGUUUUUCAGGUUGACCAUUAGAGUUCUGAGAACCCAGCAAGUUAAAUCAUCACAAAGAGGCAGAGGCUAAGCCAGAACAUCUGGGUUGGACCUGCAGCCGAAGACAAACAAAGAAGCUCACCAUUUAGUCAUUAAUAAGCUUCAAACAUACUCCAGUAGUUUUGAAAACAUUAUGUGUGAGUGUGUGAAAACCUUAAAAACAGCACAUCAAUAAUGCACUACUUUGAACAAGUUUGACAUAUGAACCGAAAACAUCACAACUCACAAGUGCAAUAAAUAAUGUUUCCACUAGAUUAAGCUGAUUGAAUCAAGAUUGAUUUUCACAAGAGAUGGGAACAUUGAAAAACAACCAACAUAAGAUUAGAGCAACACACUGAGACAUCAUUGACUGUUACAACUUAUACAUCCAUGUAGACACUGCUAACUGAAUAAAGACCACUUUUUUUAAUGAUUCCACAACAUCUUGUCUGUGGAAAUUGUAUCCAUACUCAUUCCACCUAUCUUCCCUAGUAACUCUACAACCAUUUCCACAUCCCAAUCAUUUACAAGUCUUCUAAAGGAUAAAUCCCAUCCCUGUUCUGGCCCAACAGUCCCCUACAUUAGCAUCAAGACUCACACAAAUUUGGAAAAGAUUCCUAAGAGGGAAUUGUUCUAUCCAGAAAUCCUUCCAGAAUCUUGUUUUACUGUCAUUUCCACUUUGAUAUAUAAGUCUGCCUUCAUUUGAGGCCACAAACUUCUGAUUGUUCUCCAUAGUCCCACACCCCGUAAGGUUCAACUGUGUUAUCUGUACACCAUUGGGUUAGCUCACCAAACACUCAGCUUUAAUCACCUCUUUCAAGAAAGCAUUUCUCUCCUCAAUGUACCUCCACAUCGACUUCUUCAGAAGACUUACAUUUUGCAAUCUCAAAUUUCUAAUCCCCCCCCCCCCCCCCAGUCUUUGUUAAGAAGUACAGUCUUCCAGUUUACCACCGGAGAGGAGUUCAGAUGCCCUGAAGGGACCUCCAAAGGUUUAUCUUGGAGUCCAUGUCUGGGAGCGACAAGGAUUUGUAAGAUAUUAUUUAGGCCGUGUCCUGAAUCAAAUUCUCUAUUAAGCGUAAGGGUUAUAAGAAAGUGGAAAAUGAAUAUAUUUAACCAUACAAUUUUUUAGAACAGUUCACCCCCCACUCCCACACACACAAAAAAAAGAUCUAUUGUAUUAGUACCUUAUUGUUUUAUGUGCACUAACGUUCACCUUCUUUUUGGAGAAGCAGACAAAGAUCCUCACUUGAAUCCUGUCAGUGUCCCAAGAAGAAAGAGAUCAAAGCUUAGACAAUGCAUUUUGUCACCUGCUCAAAUCCAGAGGACACUUGAUAACAAUCUCCAGGCACCAGACUUUGAAAUAAUAUCUGACGGAGAUGAACCUGUUACUCUAAUUUAUGCAAGGAACAAAUACAUUCCUCCUAAUGAGGUUGGUCUUGGAGCUAUGCUGCUAGUAUCACCAACUACUACUACAGAACGCUUGACGCCUCUAUCAGCAAUGGCAGUUCCUCCUAAUGAGAUUGGUCACGAACCUAUGCUGCUAGUAUCACCAACUACUACUAUAGAACGCUCGACACCUCAAUUAGCAAUGGAAGAAGAUACUGUUUCUUGCUCAAUGGAUGUUUCUAAAUAAAAUUCAUCUAUAAGUGAAUUUUUAGAUGCAUGCAUAACAUUCAAGUUGGUAUGUGAAGCCAGCUCUUAUUGUCUAGCUAGUGCAAUGUUGGCUAAAUACAAUUUGCGCUGUUCCAACUUUACAGAUUUCCCCGACAGUCUGGGUGUUUUGAGACCAUCUAGUUUAUCUUGUUCUGGAUAUUUAUAGUUUCUUCCAUUUUAAUGGAUUGAAUUUUUAGACACGUCAAUUCUGCUUUUUGGAUGCAUUUAAUAUGUCAAUUCCGAAGUCUAUCAUGCGUGCUUACCUACAAGUUUGUCAGUUUGCGUGGACUCCACAGUAGACUAAAAUUGUAACAUCACAACGGCAAUUUGACUUACAUAUGCUUGACAUGUUGUAAUGUCUUGCAUUGUACUUGUUUCAGGAGAAAGAACAAUGUACUAGAUCAUGUGGCUAUGCAAAAUGAAACUACUGGAAAUGAGGAUGGAAAAGCAAAUGCAUGUGAUAAUAGACUCGCACCAGAUCAUAUGAAUACUACAUCAAGGGUAUGUCGGAUAAAUUGUUCUAAAAAAUGUUGUUGCUAUUGAAUUUUCAUCUGUAUAUGGAGAUGAACAUCUUAUUAUUGAAGAAAUAGGUAUAUCAGCCUCAGGAUAAGGUAUGCUCAACCAAAAAAAGUUUAAAAAUAAGUCUACCAAAAAGUCUCUUCGAUCUCCUUCUAAGUUAUUAGGACAAGUCGAUAAGACACUACACCUUCCAAUAAUAGCUGUUACAGAAUGACAAAAGUCCCACAUCGGUGGUUUAUGAGAUGGGUGGACUCCUUAUAAGAUUUGAUCAAUCCUCUUCUCUUUGAGCUAGCGUUUGGGUGUGAGUUAGGUCUAAGACCUAAUUUAACAUGGUAUCAGAGCAGGGCUCAUCUCACCCAAUGUUGGGGCCCCCAAAAUCAAAAUUGCCCACGCACCAGAUGCUAAGCACUCGGCGUGAGUGGGGUGUUAAUGAAUGCAAAGUCCCACAUCGGUGGUUUAUGAGAGUGGAUGAACUCCUUAUAAGGCUUGGCAAUCCUCCUCCCUUUGAGCUAGCUUUUGGGUGUGAGUUAGGCCUAAAACCUAAUUUAAAAAUAGCUACACUAAAAGAGAUGCUAGAGAGCCAUUAUUAAAUAAUCCGAGAGCAAUUAUCAUAAAGAUAAAUGAAGCAUGAUGAGCUUAAAUGAAGCAAGAUAAUAAAGAUUCAUAGAGUUGCCCCAACUAGCUUGAAGUGAGGCAUGAUAGUGGUUGUGAAUUGGAAGUCAGUAAGAAUAAAAUAAAGAAAAAUCCAUCUGCUUAGAUACACGAAAUUCUGUCAAUGGCGGCAGAUGAAUACACAAGCAUAGUAAGAUAGAAAAAAUAAGUGCCGCUGCUGCAUCUCAGAAGCAGAGACUGGCCUGGAAAAGGAAUCAUCCAUAACUGAGUCCAUUUAACAAUAAAACGGUUGCCAAGACCGUAAUAGAUUAUCUGCAUUUCAAGAACAAGGAAAUAUUGUUCAGAUGAGUCAAUAUCAUCUUACCAAAAUAUUGCGAGUCGAGUCUUCAGGACUAACAGUUGAGACAAGGACCUCUAAAAUUGAAGAUAAAAGUGCCAAGAAAAAGCAUGAGAACAUUCAUGAUUUGGAAGCUCACUAAGGUGUGUUCAAACAGUCAAUUGGGAAGUUUUUGGCGACUAAUUUUCUUUUCACUUGGUUAUUUGGCAACUAUCUUAUUUCCUCACUCUUAGAUAUUUCAAUUAUCAUAUUGAAAAUAUUUAAUGCUCCCUUAUCUUAAGAUUUGUUGCUUAACAAGCCUUGACCACUUAACUAAAGGCCUAAAAUUAUGAAGGUUCACCAAAUCCAGCAUUCUCCCCCAAAUCCCCACCCCCAUUUUUUAAUAGAGAAUCUAAGACUUCUCUCAUUGGAGUUCUAUUGCCAAUAAUUGAGAAUUUACAGUAAUCAAAGUUGAUGAGCUGUCACAAAAGGGAAAACAGAUCCCCCAAGGCCUAGCUCGAGUGGCAAAAGGUGGAGGAUUUGUGGCUUAGGUCGCAGGUUGAAGCCCCAUACCAUGCAAAGCGAAGCCCGGUAUUUAAGUGGAGAAGGGUAGAGGGGCGGGCCCAUUAUCCACCGAGUUUAGAAGGCUAUGAUUGGUCCAAAGGGCGGAUCACAGACGGAUUUCUCGGUUAUCAAAAAAAAAAAAAAAAAAGGGAAAACAGAAUCAAUCAAAGUUAAUGACCCUCUAUCAUGAUUAAUCUAUUUCCAUAAAUAAAUGACCAGCUGUAGUCUAUCUGUCUAUAUAUUUUAUCCGUCGCCUCAGACAGACAUUUUGAGAUUUUGAAAGCAAAUCCAACUCUAACGUUAGCAGCAGUACAUUCAACCUGAUUUGAACUGGAAUCAUUCAGAACCAGAUUUUAUGGGUAAACAAGGGCCAUGUUGCCAUUGUGGCAUCGAGCGUAAGUACUAUUAAACACCUAUAUUCCACCUUUUAUGUUUAUCAAUAAUCUCGUGCUUUACAGGAUAAUUGAUUCAGUGAAGCUUAGAAUUAAUGUGCCUGAUGAUAAGUAAAUAAACAGUGAAGACUCACAUGCCUGAAACAGUAAAUAACCAAAUUUCCCUAAAUUGCCAAUCUGUUAAACAUAAAGCAUAGCGUACUUGAAUUUUCUCACCUCUCGAGCCAAAUGCUAAUUGAUUUUCAAAACAGCUCCCCUUAGUCUAAUAGGAACUAAGGUCAUCUUGGAUAAAUUGUAGAUUUGGUCCCCAAUCGCUGGCAUAGAUGCACAUUUUAGACCCUGCUGUAUUCCGCUUCAAAUUUGGCACCAAUGACCCUGCUCCACAACAACUGUCUUAGAGCUUUGCUUUAAAAUUCCAGAUUUUUUAUCCCAAGCCCCCAUUCUUCUUAGCAGACAUCACAGAUUUCUAUUUUACCAGGUGGUACCCUUUCUUUUCUUUGUUUCCCUGCCACAAAAACUCUCUCCUAAUGUUGUCCAACCUUUUGAUAACCCCUGGUGGGAUGGGAAAUAAAGGCAUCAUAUAAGUUGGUAAAGCAUCAAGGACUGAAUUAAUGAGAGUCGGUCUUCCUCUAAGGAGAGGUAUUGAGUUUUCCACCUGGCAAGCUUUUUUUCACACUUCUUUAUCACUCUAUCCCAUAUUUGUAUAGAUUUAGAUUUAGCCCCAGAGGUAGCCCCAAGUAAAUUGUUGGCAGACUGCCAAAUUCUCCAUCAUGUAUAGCAGCUAGCAAGUUCAUGUUGGUGACUUCAUUUAUACAAUACAUUAGGCUCUUCCUCUAAAAUCUAUGUUGCUUGGAAUCUCUGAAAUUGUUGCCGCACCCGUGUCGAAUUCUCCAAAAUGCACUACUUUUGGAGUAUCCGACAUGGUACCUCUUGACAUUUUUGAAAAAUCUGAGCAACAUAGACUAUAAUACCUAUUCCAUUUCUAAUCCUCAAACUUCCUGAGUACCUUAACUUGAGCCCGCCUAUAUCCCUAGUCUUAGUUCCUACCCAUUAGGUUUCCUAAACACAAGGUAUAUUGAUCCUCCUUCUCUUUCUUAUAAUCACCAACUCUAUUGACUUCCUCGCCAAUAUCCCUAUGUUCCAAGACAGAACUCACAACCUAGGAGUUCCCUUGGUACCCUUACCACCCCUGUCCUCACCCCAAAUCAUUGACAUGACUUUUAACUACCACCUAUUGAAGCCACUAAUGCAAGUUAUAGAAUAAUCAAGUGGGGCAACUCACACAAUACAAUGAAGAAAAUAAAAAAAGCAACAGCAAAGAUACCAAUUCAAAGUAGGAACCAAGAAAAUGUAGUAAUAUUCAUAAACAAUCAUAUCAGAUUUAAGGAAAUAAGUUAACAAUCAAGCAACAAUAAGGAUCUGAACAAUAUCUCAAGGAAAAAUCAGGUCUAGAUAAGACAGGAAAAUAUAUAAAAGGUGUGGUGGAUCAAACCUAGGCGUUGAUGGGGAUAAAAAAUACUAUGGACGGAUUUUCCGAAAUCCAGCGAGCUCUGAUAUACUCCUUUGGUCUGUCGGUCAUCAGUCAUCAGGAUGGGGUCGCUGGAUUCUUGCUGGUGUUGAGCUCUAGAGAAAAAGAUAGUCCCUGUUGAAUAUUAUACAGUUAACCACUGUCAGAUUAGUUGAUAGCGCUCCUCCUUAAAAUAUCAUGCAAAGAAAUGCAGUCUGCCAAGAGGUUAACUAUUUUGCAUGGUUCAUUAACACAACAAGCAAAUCCUUUUCAAUCUUUCCACCAUCAAUAUCGUUCAACUAUGCUGUAUGGUGCCAUAAAAUGGUGAUGAAAAUGUGUGUAUAAAAGCAGUUGACACAUCCUAAAAGUCUAUAUAUGUUUCACAGAAAGAUAUUUCCUCCUGUUUUGCUAAAGAUAUUCCCCGCUAUACGUACUCUAGUUUCGUGACGCUUUUGUUCUCGUGCAGUACAUUCUAAACCUUUUACAGAAAAUCUUAAUUGUCAAUGAUCAUUGUGCUUUAGUUUCUGAGAUAAGUUACCUGUAAGAUUUUAUUCAUAUUUUGUCCCAUUUAAAUGCUAAUUAAUUGUGAACUCAAACAGAAACCCCCCUAUGGAGACCUGGACCAACUGCAAAACCAGUGCUCUGCAAUGCAUGUGGAUUAAGAUGGCAAACUAAAGAGACACUAGAUGACUAUCUUCCCAAACAUGCAAGCACAGAGUUACCUUCUGAGAUGAAGCUGGAAGUUGGCGAAGAGGUUUCUGGACAGGAUGGCUCUUCAGCUUGUCUUGAGGAGGAAAUGAUUAACAUAUCAAGCUUAGGUUCAGCAGGAUCAUCCCCAGACAAAUGCAUGCAAAUGGAAGAAACAAAUGGUAAAAAAAUUUCACUUAUAUAUACAUGAUGGACUUAACCUCCAUCAUCUCUUUUGACGCUUGCUGCCUCCUCUCCUAACCCAGCUCUCUAACAACUCUAAAGUAUGUUCUGGCAUUGUCACUGUAGUCAAAGGCGCGCUUACACCUGGAAGCGUAUUGUGCGCUUCCCCUCGCUUUAUGUGUGCUUUAGUGUCGUCAUCAAGGUUCUAAGGCAAACUUUUCCUUGCCAAUGAACCUCUUCUAAAGAACUAACACUAAGCAAUUGAUAUUUUACUUGAUCAUAAUUUUUUUUCAAUUUCUUUGGUCAUAUAUUUGUCAUUCAUGUUUAUAAUUAUUAGACUUGGACUAAACAUAUAUAUUUGUAUUUUUUUUCUCCCUUUGCGCCUUUUUUCAUUAAAGCCCAUGUUUUAUUUGCACUUAAAGCCCCAACAGACCUUAGAGCUUUUUUGCGCUUUUCGCCUUUGAUAACAAUGGGCAUUGUCCAGUUCAGACUAGAGAUGCUGAGAAACAAAUUCCAGAUUUGCUUAGUAAAUUACAAUGCAAGAAUAGGUGGCUGUCAGUUUCUCUUGUCAAAUUGCAUAAAAAGCACCUAGGGACCAGCUGUCUGCCCUUCUUCUGUAGUACUUCCUGUGUUAAACAUGCCCUCUUUAUCAGUAGCCAAGUGACACAUUUCACUUUUGUAGGAAUGUCCCCACUCCAGAAAUAGUUCCAGAGAUGUUUUGGAUCCCCAGCCAUCAGCUGGAGACCUCUUCUGUAGACACUACUAACUGAAUAAAGACCACAUUUUUUAAUGCUUCCAUACUCAUUCCACCUAUCUUCCCUAGUAACUCUACAACCCUUUCCACCUCCCAAUCAGUUACAAGUCUUCUGAAGGAUAAAUCCCAUCCCUGUUCUGACCCAACAGGCAACUACAUUAGCAUCAGGAUUCACACAAAUUUGGAAGAGAUUCCUAAGAGGGAAUUGUUCUAUCCAGAAAUCCUUCCAGAAUCUUGUUUAAUUGUCAUUUCCCACUUUGAUAUAAAAGUCUGCCUUCAUUUGAGGCCACAAACUUGUGAUUGUUCUCCCUACUCCCACACCCCGUAAGGUUCAACUGUGUUCUCUGUACACCAUGGGGUUAGCUCACCAUACUCAUCUUUAAUCACCUCUUUCCCGAAAGCAUUUCCCUCCUCAAUGUACCUCCACAACGACUUCUUCAGAAGACUUUCAUUUUGCAAUCUCAAAUUUCAAAUCCCCCCCCCCCCAUCCUCCUCUGUCUUUGUUAAGGAGUACAGUCUUCCAGUUUACCACCGGAGAGGAGUUUAGAUGCCCUGAAGGGACCUCUAAAGGUUUAUCUUGGAGUCCAUAUCUGGGAGCGACAAGGAAUUGUUAGAUAGUAUCUAGGUCGUGUCCUGAAUCAAAUUCUUUCUUAAGUGUAUGGGUUAUAAGAAAGUGGAAAACUAAUAUAUUUAACUAUACAAAUUUUUGUAACAGCUUACCCCCCACUCCCACACACGAAAAAAGAAGAUAAUAUCAAUUGUAUUAGUACCUUAUUUGUUUUAUUUGCACUAAUGUUCACCAUCUUUUUGGAGAAGUAGACAAAGAUCCUCACUUGAAUCCUGACAGUGUCCCAAGAAGAAAGAUAUUAAAGCUUAGACAUAGCAUUUUGUCACCUGCUCAAAUCCAGAGGACACUUGAUAACAAUCUCCAGGCACCAGACUUUGAAAUAAUAUCUGACGGAGAUGAACCUGUUACUCUAAUUUAUGCAAGGAACAAAUACAUUCCUCCUAAUGAGAUUGGUCUUGGAGCUAUGCUGCUAGUAUCACCAACUACUACUAUAGAACGCUCGACGCCUCAAUCAGCAAUGGCAGAAGAUACUGUCUCUUGCUCAAUGGAUGUUUCUAAAUAAAAUUCAUCUAUAAGUGAAUUUUUAGAUGCAUGCUUAACAUUUAAGCUGGUAUGUGAAGCCAGCUCUUAUUGUCUAGAUAGUGCAAUGUUGGCUAAAAACAAUUUGGGCUUUCCAACUUUACAGAUUUCCCCAACAGACACGCGCAACAGUCUGGGUGUUUUGAGACCAUCUAGUUUAUCUUGUUCUGGAUAUUUGUAGUUUCUUCCGUUUUAUUGGAUGGAAUUUUUAGACAUGUCAAUUCCGAAGUCUAUAACGCGUGCUUACCAACAAGUUUGUCAGUUUGUCUGGACUACACGGUAGACUAAAAUUGUAACAUCACAAAGGCCAUUUGACAUACAUAUGCUUGGCAUUACAACUGUAAUGUCUUGCAUUGUACUUGUUUCAGGAGAAACAACAAUGUUCUAGAAUAUGUGGCUAUGCAAAAUGAAACUACUGGAAAUAAGGAUGGAAAUGAAAAUGCAUGUGACAAUGGACUCGCUCCACAUCACAUGGAUACUACAGAAAGGGUAUGUCAAUAAAUUGUUCUAAAAAAUGCUGCUGCUAUUGAAUUUUCUUCUGUUUAUGGAGAUGAACAUCUUAUUAUUGAAGACAUAGGCAUAUCAGCCUCAGCAUAAGGUAUGCUCAACCACAAAAAGUUUAAAAAUAAGUCUACUAAAAAGUCUCUUCGAUCUCCUUUUAAGUUGCUAGGACAAGUCGAUAAGACACUACACCUUCCAAUAAUAGCUACACUAAAGAGAAGCUAGAGAGCCAUUAUUAAAUAAUCCAAGAGCAAUGGAGACCGAGAAUAAUUUAGUACUGAGUUUCAUUUAUGCCCUCAAGUGGCAACAUAGCACUCUUCAAAAUAUAUUUAUACUUUAUAUUACUAAGUAGACUUUGAAGUAAUAAGUAGACAUCGUAAAAGUUAAACGACAACACUCCUUUUGUGACAUUCCUGAUUCUACCACUUAUAUUGCUACUCUAGCAACAAAUAUUGCAGAAACCAAAGCAAUGGAUUAACUAUUCACAACCAUAAAACUUUCUUAGAAGGCCACGAAGUACUAAAACAAAAGAAAGGGGUGAAGAGAGUGAAAUGUAUUACUCCUUAGAGACUGAAAAUGGGACGUGGGAAAAAAUGUGAAAUGUCAAAAUCUGUCAUUCUGUUGAUCAGUGGCAGAGCAAUGUAAGUAAUGAUAGCUGAAAAAGGAAACAGAUAAGCAUAUCUUAGGCUCCGGAGCAUCAUACAACUGAAAAAGGCUACUUAUGGGUUGUACUUUCGUAUUCUUAGUUUUGUUUGAAACAUAGGAUGCUUAAUAUACAAUUUUAUGCUAAAAAAGAAAUUUAAAAAUGGUGGAGCAAAGAUUUUCUACAAUAUACUCAAAUACAAGAAUGAAUCUUGAUGGAAGGAACAUAACAUGAUAGCUUAACACAAAACUUGCAACUGUGGAUUUCAAAGUCAAAAAAUACACCUUGUUGUCUUUUGGUUUAACUUUCCUUCUUUAUCGGCAAGCUUAUUGAUGUAUUUUUACUUUAGGGUAUAUUCUUGUGACGUUACAACUACAUCCCGAGCAGACGAUAUAGGAUGCUUAUGGGUUGUACCUUCGUAUUCUUAAUUUUGUUUGAAACAUAGGAUGCUUAACCUACAAAGUUAAUUAUUUCGUCAAAAGGGAAGUAGAAUUUAUGGGAGAUACAAUUUUAUGCCAAAAAAGAAAAAAGAAAAAUGGUGGAGUGAAGAUUUUCUACUAUAUACUCAAGUACAAGAAUGAAUCUUGAUGGAAGGAACAUAACAUGAUAGCUUAACACAAAACUUGCAACUGAGGAUUCCAAAGUCAAAAAAUACACCUUCUUGUUGCCUUUCGGUUUAACUUCCCUUCUUUAUCGGCAGGCCUAGUUCUGUAUUUUUGCUUCAGGUGUAUGCUUGUGAUGUUACAACUACAUCCAGAGUAGACGAUAUAGAAAGUAGUUAAUGGACAUGUACUUUCACUAAUAUUGUUGUUCCAGGCACAUGGAAUAUUUUUAAUUAUGGGUGACAGUAAGACUCAGAUAUUGAAUCUUUGUCCGCUCUAAUAUCAUAUUAAAGAACUCAUCUAAAAACUUAAAUUGUUAAAGCAAGUGCACUUUUAUUUAUUUAAAGCAACAUAAUAGCCAGAAUUUUUCUAAAAGCCUCACACGACAAAUUAUUAGGAUCACAAGAAUCAAAGACUGCAGAUCGUUUAGAACAUGAAUAAGUUUAUACAAUUUAAUUAGAAUAGAAAUAGGUUUAUACAAUCUUAUUAGAAUAGGAAAAGGUUUAUACAAUCCUAUUUAGAAUAGGAAUAGAAAUAGUAAAUAGUAUCUUACUAGGUAAAUGAUUGUAUUAUAGUGUCAAUAAAUAGGGUCUCAAUGUAUAAUGUAGACACAACAACAAUUCAAUAAUAUUUUUUUCAAUAAUUCUCACAUGGUAUCAAAACCUCUACGAUCUUGGUAGAAAAUCAAAGAGUUUUUGCUGCCGGCGGGUGGCAAUUACCCAUAUAUGCUGCCCGUCUGGCCAAUAAUUAUGUUAACUGUUAUAGAAUGUAUAUAGACUUAAUCUUAGUAAUAUACAUAGCUAUAUAUAGGCAGCAGAUUUAUAGGGAUCACUGCAGAUCUGUAGGAAUCACUCUUUAUUUCUUUCCUUAGUUAGCACCUUAUGUAUUGUAUUUAUUCACUGUUCACCUACUGGAAUAAGAUAAGAUCUUCCAUUCAAUUACAUGGUAUCAGAGCCAAUAGGCUCGUGUCGUUUUGGCUGUGUUACGGAAGAAGUUUGGAUUUCUAUUCCACUGAUUUAAAGUGGUCAGUCAUCACCACCACAGAAGGAGGCGGAGUAUAUUUUCCAGCCAAACCAGUCUUCACUGGCAUCUGGUUGUGAAGCGAGUGGCUGUCACGCACAGGUCAUACAGUCUUUUGUUCAUCACGGGCCGGCACGUGAAGGUGCGUGUCUGGCUGAAUCGAUUGGGUUUUAAUUUACGGCAUCGACACGUAUUUCUGGUGAAUCUCAGGUCUGUUCUGGUGUUAAAAUAGAUCUGGAAAGUCUGUUCGGUCACUUCUCAGGUCUGUUUUGGUGUUAAAAUACGAUCUGGAAAGUUUGUUCGUCACUCCCUGGUUCGUUUCUAUUCUGCUACACUGAAUCUGGUCUGUACUUUGUGGUUCUGUGGCUGCUAGCUUCUACUUCAGAUCAGAUAAUUGGUGUUGUUUGGUCAUAAGCUGCGGUUCAGAAUUUCUUUCUCUGAACUACUUGCUUGGGUAUUUGAUUGUUCAUUACUUGCUCUUGUCUACUGGUAAAGUACUCAGAUUCUUCAUUUUGGGUGAAUAAUUGGUUUCUUAGUUGAUAAAAUCAUUUUUUAGAAUUUGUUCAACAGUGUUUGUGGGGUCACAUACAUGCUUCUGGUUAUAUUUUCUGUUGAUAAGUUCUUGUGCUGCUAAAAUAUUUGGAGAGAAUGACUGAAAUUGUGGCUCCUAUGUUUUCGGAUAAAAGAACUUUGGUUUCGGCGGAAGAGUUUGCAAAAUUCUCACAAUAUCAAAAAUUACAAAAAGAAUCUAUUUCAGCUACUACCCUUGUUGAGUCAGGAAAAGCAUGUCUUAUAUCCUCUUCGAAUAAAUGGGUGAUCGAUUCAGGUGCCACAGAUCACAUGACAGGUAAUCCUAAUAUAUAUUCUAGCUUUCGAUCACACGGAGCACUCUCUCCUGUGACGGUUGCUGAUGGUUCAAUCUGUAAUAUUAUAGGAUCUGGGACUGUAAAACCAACUUCUUCCAUUACCUUGUCAUCUGUAUUAGGUCUACCAAAGUUAGCCUUUAAUUUGAUGUCUGUUAGUAAGCUUACCAGAGACCUAAACUGUUAUAUCUCUUUCUUUCCCGAUCAUUGUUUGUUUCGUGAUCUGAAGACAAAUAAAGUUAUUGGUAAAGGACAUGUAUCCGAUAGUCUCUACAUUCUUGAUGAAUAUUGGGAGCCUCGAUUUGCUGCCUGUUCUAGUGUCGUGUCUCCAUUCGAGGCACAUUGUUGAUUAGGACAUCCUUCUUUGCCUAUGUUGAAGAAGCUUUGUCCUCAGUUUCAGAAUAUUCCUUCACUAGAUUGUGAGUCGUGUCAAUUUGCCAAACACCAUCGUAGCUCAACAAAACCAAGGGUUAAUAAGCGGGUGGAGUCAAUUUUUGAGUUAGUUCAUUCAGAUGUUUGGGGACCAUGUCCUGUUGUUUCCAAAACCGGACAUAAGUAUUUUGUCACAUUUGUGGAUGAUUUCUCUCGAAUGACUUGGAUUUAUUUUAUGAAGAGUCGUUCUGAAGUGUUUACUCACUUUUGUGCUUUUUGUGCUGAAGUCAAAACUCAGUUCAAUACUUCAAUGCGUAUUCUAAGGAGUGAUAAUGCUAAAGAAUAUAUGUCAGAAUUGUUUCAGUCCUACAUGAGACAACAUGGUAUUCUCCAUCAAACUUCAUGUGUUGAUACACCCUCUCAAAAUGGAGUUGCUGAGAGAAAGAAUAGGCACCUACUUGAGACAGCUCGAGCACUUUUGUUCCAAAUGAAGGUUCCUAAACAAUUUUGGGCUGAUGCAGUCUCUACAGCUUGUUUUUUGAUUAAUCGCAUGCCAUCGACUGUUCUUGUUGGUAAUGUGCCUUACAAUGUUCUUUUUCCAAACAAGUCACUAUUUCCGGUGGAGCCUAAGGUAUUUGGAAGCACGUGUUAUGUUCGAGAUGUUCGGCCAUCUGUUACCAAGUUGGACCCUAAGGCAUUGAAGUGUGUUUUCUUGGGUUAUUCACGCCUUCAGAAGGGGUAUCGAUGUUAUUCUGCAGAGCUUGGUAAAUACUUGGUGUCAAAUGAUGUGGUAUUUUCAGAGACUACACCAUUCUUCUAUGCACCUCCUAUUUCUACAACUCAAGAGGAGGAAGAUGAGUGGUUAGUCUAUCAGGUUACUCGUGUUGUGAAAGAACAAUCAAAUAAUGUUCUUCAAUCUCCUAGCUCCCCUAUUGAGCACCAAUUGACUAUUGGACCUAUAACUUCUGCUCCAGCAAGACCACCAAUUGUUCAAGUUUAUUCGAGGAGACGAGAGAUCGAUGAUACAUGUUCUGCACCGGUUCCUCUGUUAUCAAAUCUUUCUUCACCCGAUACUUCAGAGAAUUUGGAUCUCCCUAUUGCUCUUCGCAAAGGUAAAAGGACUUGUCAAUCCACAUAUCCCAUUGUUAAUUUUGUUUCCUAUGACCGUUUAUCCUCUAUGUCGAGGUCCUUGGUUGCUUCUUUAGACUCCAUCUCUAUACCCAAAACAGUGAAGGAAGCUUUGAACCAUCCUGGAUGGUAUGAUGCGAUGCUUGAGGAAAUACAUGCCUUAGAGGAAAAUCACACGUGGGAUUUGGUGGAUUUACCUAGCACGAAGAAACCAGUGGGAUGUAAGUGGGUGUUCACAGUUAAAGUUAAUCCAGAUGGUUCUGUGGCAAGACUUAAGGCUAGGCUUGUGGCUAAAGGGUAUGCUCAAACUUAUGGAGUGGAUUAUUCAGACACUUUCUCUCCGGUUGCGAAACUUACUUCUGUCCGCUUGUUCAUUUCUCUAGCUGCUUCUGCGAAUUGGCCUUUACAUCAGUUGGAUAUCAAAAAUGCAUUCCUUCAUGGUGAUCUUCAAGAGGAAGUAUAUAUGGAGCAACCACCUGGUUUUGUUGCUCAGGGGGAGUAUGGGCGAGUCUGUUAUUUGAAGAAGUCCUUGUAUGGCUUGAAACAGAGUCCCCGAGCUUGGUUUGGGAAGUUUAGUGAGGUAGUCCUGGAGUUUGGGAUGAAAAUGAGCAAAUGUGAUCACUCAGUCUUCUACCGACAAUCAACAGUUGGCACUAUCCUGCUGGUUGUGUAUGUUGAUGACAUUGUCAUCACAGGAAGUGAUUAUGCAGGGAUCUCUUCCCUCAAAUCCUUCCUGCAUACUAGGUUUCAUACGAAAGACUUGGGUCAGUUGAAGUACUUUUUGGGUAUAGAGGUAAAUAGAAACAAGAAGGGAAUUCUUUUGUCUCAGAGAAAGUAUAUUCUUGAUCUUCUUGCAGACACUGGAAAGUUGGCAGCUAAACCUUGCAGUACUCCAAUGGUUCCCAAUGUGCAGCUUAUGAAAGAUGACGGCGACCCCUUUGAUGAUCCUGAGAGAUACAGGAGGUUAGUUGGAAAGUUAAACUACCUUGUUGUGACUCGUCCAGACAUUGCUUUUGCAGUAAGUGUUGUUAGCCAGUUCAUGUCCUCACCUACAGUCAAACACUGGGCAGCUUUGGAACAGAUUUUAUGUUACUUGAAAGGAGCCCCGGGUCUUGGGAUAUUAUAUAGCAAUCACGGUCAUACUCGUGUUGAGUGUUUUGCAGAUGCUGACUAUGCUGGAUCCAAAAUUGAUAGGAGAUCGACUACAGGCUAUUGUGUCUUUGUUGGAGGAAACCUAGUGUCAUGGAGGAGUAAGAAGCAAAGUGUUGUAUCUCGAUCCAGUGCAGAAUCUGAGUAUAGAGCUAUGUCACAGUCUACAUGUGAGAUUAUGUGGAUAUAUCAUCUUCUAACUGAAAUUGGGUUGGAAUAUCAUACACCAGCAAAACUUUGGUGUGAUAAUCAAGCUGCCUUGCAUAUUGCCUCAAAUCCGGUGUAUCAUGAAAGAACUAAACACAUUGAGGUUGACUGUCAUUUUAUUCGUGAGAAGAUUCAGGAAAACUUGAUUUCCACGGGCUACGUGAAGACAGGAGAGCAAGUAGCUGAUUUGCUCACAAAGGCGUUGAAUGGAACUCGAGUUGAUUAUCUUUGUAACAAGCUGGGCAUGAUCAACAUAUAUGCUCCAGCUUGAGGGGGAGUGUUAUAGAAUGUAUAUAGACUUAAUCUUAGUAAUAUACAUAGCUAUAUAUAGGCAGCAGAUUUAUAGGGAUCACUGCAGAUCUGUAGGAAUCACUCUUUAUUUCUUUCCUUAGUUAGCACCUUAUGUAUUGUAUUUAUUCACUGUUCACCUACUGGAAUAAGAUAAGAUCUUCCAUUCAAUUACAUUAACAAAAGUGACAACAAUGAUAUAUGCAUGAACCCCAUAUUCAGAGAAAGAAAACUCAGUCUGACAAGUCAUUGUGCGUCAAUUUCCGAUGAGUGUUUUGUGUCAACCCCAUAUCCGUUGGUAUUUGCGUAGCACCGUGCUAUCUUUUCGAUGACUACUUUUUCAUAUUCAAUUGUUUUAGCACCGUGCCAUCAUUCCGGUGACUACUUUCUAUAUCUAUUUUGUGUGGCGCCGUGUCAUCUUUCCGGUGACUACUUUUUCAUAUUUAAUUUGUGUAGCACCGUGCCAUUCUUCCGGUGACUGCCUUUUUUUGCAUAUUUGAUUUGUGUAGCACUGUGCAUCUCUCCAGACUAUUUUUCAUAUUCAAUUUACGUAGAAUCGUGGAUUUUUCCGUUCUACUUUGUCAUAUCUAAGUUGCAUAGCACCGUGUCUUUUCGGUGACUCCUCAUAUUUGAUCUGCGUAGUUCCAUUCGUCUUUCGGUGACUUCUCAAAUCUGAUUUGCGUAGGGUUGUGCCAUCAUUUCGACCCUACUUAUACUAUUUCUCUUCUUCAAUAGGGUCAUGCUGUCAAUCCGACCUUGUAUUUUCUAGUUGGGUCGUGCUACCAUUCCGACCCUUCCCAUAUAAUAUUAUUUGUUAGAUUGUGACCACUUUUAGCCAUCAAAUCUAAUACUCCGGCAUAUGAGCAUGUUCCGACCAAUUUUUCAGUGACUUUCUUGUUUAAUAUCGACUCAUCUAUUGAUUCCAGCAUGAUCCAUAUACUUUAUACUAGACUUUGAGCACUUUGUAGCUCAAGGGGAGUUUAGUAGCCUUGUAUGUCGAUUAUGUAAGUCACUCUAUGGUCUGAAACAGUCUUUGCAAGUUUGGUUUGGGAAGUACAACACUGUAAUUUUAUCACGCUGUGUUUUAUCGACAUUAUGCAUCAAAUUCAGUAUUUCAUUAGAAGAUUAAGCACAUUGAGAUUGACUGCCAAUAUGCAUUAAAUCCAACAUUUAAUGAGAAGACAAGCAUAUUGAGAUUGAAUGUCAAUUUUGUGAAGUUGACUAAUCAACUUGCAAUAGUCUCACUAAGCCCCUCAUCGAUCCCCGUAUUAAUUACAUUUGUAACAAGCUAGGUAUAUGAAUUGUACGCACUAGCUUAAGGGGGAGUGUUAGAAUAUAAAUAGGCUGAUACAAUCCUAUUAUAAUAGGAAUAAGUUUAUACAAUCCUAUUAGAAUAGGAAUAGGUUUAUACAAUCCAAUUUAGAAUAGGAAUACAAAUAGAAAUAGGAAUAGUAAAUAGUAUCCUACUUGGUAAAAAAUUGUACUCUAGUGUCUAUAAAUAGGGUCUCAAUGAAAUAAUGUAGACACAAAAACAAUUCAAUAAUAUUCUUUUUCAAUAUUUCUCUCAAUUGAGACAACAUUCCUCCAUGUGAUAUCAAAUUCACUUUGUCCCAUUUCAUCGCAUUUAGUCAUCAUUUAAGUGCUACAACUCAAUGCAAUAAAGUCAAGCUAAAACCAACUUAUCAUCAAAAAAUACAUGUUACGGUUAUAACCUUAUCAUCAUAAGAAAUCUACCAUUGUCUUUUCAUCACUACUUAUAUCUACAAAUUAAUUUAUUUUUUUUAUAACCGAGAAAUCCGUCUGUGACCCGCCCUUUGGACCAAUCACAGCCUUCUAAACUCGGUGGAUAAUGGGCCCGCCCCUCUACCCUUCUCCACUUAAAUACCGGGCUUCGCUUUGCAUGGUGUGGGGCUUGAACCUAUGACCUAAUCCACAAAUCCUCCACCUUUUGCCACUUGAGCUAGGCCUUGGGGGCAUCUACAAAUUAAUUACUUCUUGAAGUGACAAAAGAUGUUCUCUUUAGCUUAAUAUAUUUUCUAUCCAUUUUAUUCCAGUAUUUUAGCUGUAUUAUUUUAAUAUGUACAUUCAUAGUGCAAUAUUAUCCAAAGUAUGUACAAGUAAUUGACAUGAGAAGUUUUAGUAUGAUUGCAACUAUCACGAUGAGUCAUGGUAACCAUGCUUGUUCAACUUGAUAAAAGAAAAUAGUAAUCAGAUAAUCCCCACAGCAAAAAAAAAUUGUGCUAACAUAGAGACUUGAAAUUAGUGCUAGAAAGGAAUCAUAAAAAGUAUUUCAAAUUUAAAAGAAUAUGAGGACAAAUCAAAGCACCGGUACCUGCUACUCUAUUUUAGUAACCUUACCAUUAUGUCAACAAGGACUACAAUUGUCACGCCCCAAGCUACCCCCAAGACGCGGACACGGGACCUAGGACCACAAGUGAUCCCAAGCUAACCCUGUUGGCAUGAUCAUGAGCAUACUAAAUAUAAUCUGAAUAAUAGAAACUGCGCAGAAGCUAAAUCACAAAUAAAUCUGAAAGAUGGGGAAUACCCAUAUACUAUAUCUGAGAUAUAUGAAAACUGAUGAGUUUAAUACAAAGAAGAUAUUAACUCAACACUAAGCUGAAUCUAACUAUGUCUGAAAUAAGCCUCUAAACUGACUAGAAAUGUUGGGACAUACCCCAACUAGAUCUAGCAAAACUGAAACUAAAGACUAAAAGCGAUAAAGAUAAACAUGUCACUAGUCCUCGAAGAAUGAGGACUCACCACUGAUGCUGCUGAACUGAAGAUCGGGAAUCGAUCUAAGCGUGAUCUGGAUGCUGAGAACCUGAACCUACAUCACGAGAAGAUGUAGCGCACGUAUGCCUCAGUAAAGGUACUGAGCAUGCAGGAUACAGUAAAGCUGAAAUAACAUAUAACUGAACAAAGCAAUAAAGCAAUGAAAUAAUCUGAACAUGAUAUAGAUACUGAAUACUGAGCUAACUGAAUGCAAUGACCAAUUUAUAACAUGCUGACUGAAUACUGAAUGAACUGUAAAUGUGGUCAAUGCAAUAGAGUCUGACUGAACUGUGGGAGCUACUAAUAANNNNNNNNNNNNNNNNNNNNNNNNNNNNNNNNNNNNNNNNNNNNNNNNNNNNNNNNNNNNNNNNNNNNNNNNNNNNNNNNNNNNNNNNNNNNNNNNNNNNNNNNNNNNNNNNNNNNNNNNNNNNNNNNNNNNNNNNNNNNNNNNNNNNNNNNNNNNNNNNNNNNNNNNNNNNNNNNNNNNNNNNNNNNNNNNNNNNNNNNNNNNNNNNNNNNNNNNNNNNNNNNNNNNNNNNNNNNNNNNNNNNNNNNNNNNNNNNNNNNNNNNNNNNNNNNNNNNNNNNNNNNNNNNNNNNNNNNNNNNNNNNNNNNNNNNNNNNNNNNNNNNNNNNNNNNNNNNNNNNNNNNNNNNNNNNNNNNNNNNNNNNNNNNNNNNNNNNNNNNNNNNNNNNNNNNNNNNNNNNNNNNNNNNNNNNNNNNNNNNNNNNNNNNNNNNNNNNNNNNNNNNNNNNNNNNNNNNNNNNNNNNNNNNNNNNNNNNNNNNNNNNNNNNNNNNNNNNNNNNNNNNNNNNNNNNNNNNNNNNNNNNNNNNNNNNNNNNNNNNNNNNNNNNNNNNNNNNNNNNNNNNNNNNNNNNNNNNNNNNNNNNNNNNNNNNNNNNNNNNNNNNNNNNNNNNNNNNNNNNNNNNNNNNNNNNNNNNNNNNNNNNNNNNNNNNNNNNNNNNNNNNNNNNNNNNNNNNNNNNNNNNNNNNNNNNNNNNNNNNNNNNNNNNNNNNNNNNNNNNNNNNNNNNNNNNNNNNNNNNNNNNNNNNNNNNNNNNNNNNNNNNNNNNNNNNNNNNNNNNNNNNNNNNNNNNNNNNNNNNNNNNNCGGAGAAAUCUUUCGAUUUCGGGGUUGGAACUGAUGGAACCUUGCUGCGUUCUUGAACUAGGGUUCUUGACCUUUUUCUCCUCUCUUGCUUCUAAUUUUCUAAGUUUUGAUUAAUGAUUUGACUUAGGUAAGUUCUAGUUAUGUUUCUAGGUUUAAACUGAUUAAAACCUCAUGAUUUAGGGUCAAAACGACGUAUCUUAGGGGUUAAACGAAAUAGGAAAAGACCAAAAGACCCCUGAAUUAACUGCUGUCGGAGUGAUCGACGGUUUGGACUGACGGGCCGUCAAUCCAUCGACGGACCGUCGAUUGGGUCCGUAGGUCGAGUCUGCCCGACCGGGCUUCACUAAAACGAGCAUAACUUUUUACUCGGAGGUCGGAAUUUGGAAAACUCGGUGGCGUUGGUAAGAUAAUUCAAUUAUCUACCAUACCAUAGGUAAUGGGACACACAAUUCCUUUUGUGCUAAAAUUUAUGACCAUCUGAAGUUGACCAAUCAAUAAUUUUCAGCUAACUAGCUGUUGACCCUCAUCUACGGUCAGACCUACGGACCGUGGGAUCGAAUGACGGUCCGUGCUGGUCGACCGUAGUUUGUGUCAGAGGCUGGGUAAGGGAAGUCUCGAUCCACGGACACAGACCACGGACCGUGGUCUGAUCUACGGACCGUGGGUCUGUCCAUGAGUCGGGACUUAGCCAAUUUUUUCUGAGCUAGUUUGGGAGGGGUUGCAGUGGUGAACCACGGACCACCAGUACGGGCCGUGGUCUGACCUACGGUCCGUGGAUGGUGACCGUAAGUUGCACCUGCAACUUCUCAAAAAUCUAUAUUUUUUGGUCUGUUUCGAAUACGGGGUGUUACAACAAUCAUAAGGAAAAAUCCAACAAUUUAUCCGUAACUCCUCCAUGUUUUUGUUUGUUCCACUUCAUUGCUCUUUUCUUUUUUGUCAAGUAACUGAAUCUAUGUUUCCUUCCUUUGCAUCUGUUACAAAUAACACAUCUACUUCUGUCCCAUUUCCUCUUAAUCUCUUGGGUACCUUAUCCCUCCAUCCUCAUAAUCUCUUGGGUAACUUAUCAAUCCAUCAAAAAAAAAAAUGUAAUUAAGAGGUUAUAUUUAUAUCCUUCGAGUAUAAACAUAUUGAUACUUGAAACUGCACAACUGAGUCCAUCUGGAAGAUCAGCACCUAAAAUCCUAAAUGAGCAAAAUGAAUAGUUUCAUUUGUACUAACUGCCAGAAAACUAAAUAAAAAAUCUUCUAGUUAAGAUAACAGCUGCAUUAUUAAUCAUCCAGUUUGUGAGGUAUUUCCAUUCAUUCCAAUAAACUGAAACAGAAAAUGUGGAAAGCACCCGAAGUAGUAAACAACUAAUAGACUCAUCACACGGAGGUAGAGACACAAUUUGAUCUGAUCUGUUGAAAACACAAUUCAACAAUCAGUUUAUUUAUUUCUACGGAUACAAUACCCUUCUUAAUUUUAAGAAACUUCUUCUUCCAAACAUCUCUUUGGCUUUUAUCUAAGAAUUGACAUGCCACCGCUGUUCUGUUUUUGGUAUAUACGAGAAAAUACAAAUAUACAAGUGUUUCCUCAUCGACAAUCUUCUUUGCAGUCUACAACUAAAAUUGAGAAUUUUAAAAGCAAGCUAGGUAAUAGUUUAUGUUAAAUCUCUUUUGUGUUUUGGUACAUCCUUACAUAUUUCAUAACUACUUGAGGUACCUUUUUUAAUUACUGCUGACAUUAAUUGCUCGAGGUCUCCAGCCAACAACUAUAUUCUCGAAGAGCUCCCUGUGGAGCAAAAAUAGGAUAUCCGAGAGGUCAGCCACGGCUCUCGACAACCUAAGCCACAUCUCUGCUUAAAUUUGUUUCGGUUAAUGAAUCUACUUCUAGAAAACUCUACAAAAUUGAAAUCAAACAAAUAUCAUAUAUUUGAAAGACAUGUGUUGCUAUAUCUACCGGCAUCAACAGACUUAUGCAGACAUAGGCAUAUUUCAAUUAAGUAAAUUUUUUAUAACCUGAGAAAUCCCGAGGUUCCAAACUCAGUGGAUCUUGAGCACAGUUUCUUCAACCCACCUCCCCUCCAUCCCCCAACCCCAGCCCACCCAAAAAAAGGGCAGUGAAUUUGAAAGCAAUUCUGAACCUUCUUAAUUUAUUUGAAAGCACCUUAAAUAAAAUCUUGUAAAUGCUUUCUACCGGACUAAUAGGUUGAUUGAGUUUGAUUCCACAAGGACCAAACCGACUCUUUCAGCUGACUUAGAGAUGAAUGUCAAAUUAUCAACGAGGAUUUUCGUCUGAUCGUAGCAGGGUUGUUAGAAACUUGCAACCAACAACAGUAGAAAUUUUCAUAAUAGCCUACAACUUUUGCUUUCACGUUAAACAUAAACAGUAUGAGUUUAACAAUAAAAAUGCAGCUAUAAAAACAUAAUCAUGUCUGAUAAUUUGAAGAGUUUGUUUGGAACUUGAACAACUAUAUUGAUGUUUAUAUCUUAUACUGAAAUUAAUUUGAAUAAACCUACUUGAUGCGGUAAAAACAAACAAACAUAAAGACAAAGGCCGAAAACUUGACGCAGUUACAUCUAUCUUGACGAAAGCAUCAAUAAUUACAACAUAAUAAAGGUAAUAAAUAAAUCUGUCUUUCAAGGUGCAUAACCUUUAUAGCAAUAGUAAUGAGGCAUCCCCAAACAUCAUGUAGUAAUGUAUACCAAGAACGUUCUCUUGGGAUUACAAUAUAUAGAAACAGAUAUAUAAUGGAUUUGGAGAAGGGAAAUUAAACAGCAUAAACCAUAUAUCACAAAGAAAGGGAAACCAAGAAAAAAGAGAGCAACAUUCCCAGAUUCAGUUUUCUGGAUUCAAGAAUGCAAGAAAGUGAAGAAAUUGAAAAGUGUGUUCUCAAGAAUAAUAUAUAAGAAGAUUGGACCGACCACAUAAACUAUCAAGUAACCAGAACCAACAUGUAAGUAAUCAAAAGAAAAUUUACAAAAACUCAUAAACACGGGACACAAUGCAUCAAAAGCCCUAAAGAAUGAAGUUUUACUCACUUGUAGCGGUGAAUAUCGACGACAGACAAAACAUAGAAGAAGAAGAAGAAGAAGAGCCCUUUUAUUCCAAAAGCCAUGAAAACAGUGGUUGGUUUGCUCCUCAUCUUCCUCAAUUACUCCUUCCUUCAGUUUAGGUAUAUUGGUUCUUCACAAUUUUCAUCCAUUUUCUCAUUUUUUUUCUGAAAUUCAAGGAUAAAUCAGAAAAGUUUUUUUUUUUCAGAAUGUGCAUUUUUUGGCUGCAAAAUUCUAAGGUCCUAAUUCUAAAAUAGUAAUCAUUUAAUAAAUUUAAAAUAAUAAUAAUUUUUUUUCAUUUGGUAAAAUUUUUAAAAUCAUCUUAUUGAUGAGAAAAAAAGUUUAUUGUGUUUCACCAAUAGAUUUAAAAUGCAUUUUAAAGUAAUAAUUAGUGUUUGACCAAAUUUUUUGAAGUGUUUUAAGUGUAUUUUUUUAGAACUAUUUUUCAAAAAGUAUUUCAGAAAAAAGCUAAUUAUUUUAGCUUUUGAAAAACAAUUUUUACUACUUUUCUCCCAAAAAGUUUGAUUGAACACCUCACUUUCAAAAAAUAAAUAUAUUUUACCUCCCAAAAACUUGACCAAAUAGACUAUUAAUAUUUAAUAUUAACCAUUUAGAUUCUAAUUAUUAAGUGUAUUUAUUUUUAUAAUUUUGCAAUUACUUAACGAGAUUGAAUAAAUUUGAAUAAGCAUGGUAUUUUUCAAAGUUUUCUUAUAUUUCAUCACUAUUUCUCUAUUUUCACCGAUGCAGUUGUUGCCGUAAUUCACUAUUAUCAACUAUAAUCACCCAGUAUAUACAAAUCACCAUCACCACCGUAUUAAGUUCUCACUACCAUUAGCCACCAUUAACAAUCAUCAAUCAUAACCACCAUUACAAUUUACAACCACCAAUUAAAAACAACAAUCACCACAAUAACUAUUCAAUAUAUAUUGCAAACCAUUGUUAUUAGUUAUCACGAUCAACAACAACAAUUAAUUAGUAUUGUCAGCCACAUUACUACUAGACCACUCAAUAUCGCCACCGUCUCCCAACAUAAUCUCAAUCGACACCUUGAACCAUCAUUGCUUACAACCAUCACUUUAAUUGUCAUAUAAUUCUUUAAUAGUAUCUCAAUAUCAUAUAAAAUAAUUUAAUAUUUUAUUUAAAUUUUAUAUUUAUUGAUUCUAAAGAAAGGAAUUUUUUUAUAUAUUCACAUGUUGAAAAAAAUUAAUCUUAAUUGUUUAGUAUUAAAAUUUUAGUACGAUAUCUUAAUAUUCAGUUGUGUAUUAAUUUAAAAUAUCUCAAUCUUGAUGAAAACAAUUAAGAUUUAAGGCGGUGAAAGGAAUACAAGUAUUAAUUGAGAUUUAAAUAAUAAAUAAGAAUAAUUUAAUCAAAUCAUCCUUCUAAAUAAUAUUUUUUUAAAAGAAAUGCAAAAGAAAAAUUUGACAACCAAAAUGAACCCAAGAGUAGCACAAGAUAUUACAAAUAUUUCUUCAUAUUGAUUAUUGAUCAACACAUAAAAACAAUUCUUCCAAAUUUUAUUUAAAAUUAAUUCCUUUUAUAAUAUCCUUAAAAAAAUCAACCCCACUUAUACUUAGAAACUAUUUAAUUUAGCAUUCAUAAAAUGCUUUCCUCAAGUCUAUUUUAGGUAAAAAAAAAAAAAAAAAAAAUUUGACCGAAUUCCUUUUAUUCUAUUCUAAAAAAAAUUGACCCCUCAUAUACUUGGAAAUUAUUUAAUUUAGCAUUCAUAAAUUGCCCUCUAGUCCAUUUUAGGUAAUUUUUAAAAGCUUUGACCAAAUUCUCAUUAAAAAAAGUCAAUUAUUAACAUUAAUAAAAUGAGUUAUUUUAUCAAACAUUUGUUCAAUAUUUUAUUAGACAAGGAUAAUUUUGGAAAAAAAGUUUUUAAAUAAAUCUAUAGAAUUUUAAAUUCCACAACCAUAUUUAGACAACUUUUUAAUGUUACAUUACUACCAUGCAAAUCUGAAUUAGUGAAGCAAAUACAUUUUUGGACAAUGAAUAAUUAAAAAGAAUCACAUCAACAACAAUAUAAAGAUAUUCAGAAGCAAGACUUCUAAUUUUAUAAUUGGACACUAGACCAUUAAAACUAUUACCUUAUUUGUUAAAAUCAACUAAUUGAAGAUUGAAAGGUACUAUUUGGUCAACCAUUGCCAAAGCUAAAAUGGAAAUUUAUAGUCAAAGCAAUUACCAUUCUUGAAACAAAGCAAGUACAUAAUAAUUUGUCCUAAUGAGAUCACUCAACAAAAUCACAGAUGCUUAAUUUUGGUGAACAAGUUACUCGAUAUUUGUGCCGACGGCAAGGAUGCCUUGCUUGUCUUGUUUUAGUGACCAAUACUCAAUGUACCUGAUGUUUCAUUUAGGAAUAAAUAUGUCAUUAUGCAUUGAUCAUUAACUAUUCAAUAUAUAGACUGCUCACUAAAGAUAGACUACAGAAUAUGCAUAUACAAGAGAGUGCUGAAACGCACCAACAUUUGUUUACUGAAUGUCAUUGGGGGAAUACAGUGAGGAAGGAUUUGACUAACUGGAUGGGUGUGGAACUGCUAAGAGGCGCAAUUCAACAAAUAUUGGCGUGGAUUAAAAGAAGAUGUUGGAAACAAUUGAAGAAGGAAGCAGGUAGCUGCUAUGUAUGGAGCAACAAUUUAUUAUACCUGGCAAGCGAGGAAUUGGAGGCAGUUUAGACAGGAACAUGUAAAUACAAAUUUCAUCAUCGCACAAAUAAAAAAGGAGUGACAAGUUAGAUUAGAAAGAGUUAAGGAGUCUAGAAAGGCAAGAAAUUGUCAAGAUUUAAUACAUAGGAUUUGUGGUAGACAGUAAGUAGCUAGAUGCUAUAGUGUUUUUUUCUUCCUAAAUUGUACUACUUUGUUUUGUUAUGGUAAUACUCACAGUUUAUUGCUUUUAAAAAAAAAAAACUAUUCAAUAUAUAUUGCAAACCAUUGUUAUUAGUUAAUGACCCUCUAUCAUGAUUAAUCUAUUUCCAUAAAUAGAUGACCAGCUGAAGUCUACUGAAUUCUUAUCUGUCUAUAUAUUUUAUCCGUCACCUCAGUCAGACAUUUUAGAUUUUGAAAGCAAAUCCAACUCUAACGUUAGCGGCAGUACAUUCAACCUGAUUUGAACUGGAAUCAUUCAGAAUCAGAUUUUAUGGGUAAACAAGGGCCAUGUUGCCAUUGUGGCAUCGAGCGUAAGUUCUAUUAACCACCUAUAUCCCACCUUUUAUGUUUAUCAAUAAUCUUGUGCUUUACAUGAUAAUUGAUUCAGUGAUGCUUAGAAUUUAUGUGCCUGAUGUUAAGCAAAUAAACUUUGAAGACUCACAUAACUGAAACACUAAAUAACCAAAUUUCCCUAAAUUGCCAAUCUGUUAAACAUAAAACAUAGCGUACUUGAAUUUUCUCACCUCUCGAGCCAAAUAUUAAUUGCUUUUCAAAACAGCUGCCAUUAGUCUAACAGGAACUGAGGACAUCUUGGAUAAAUUGUAGAUUUGGUCCCCAAUCCCUGGCAUAGAUGCACAUUUUAGACCCUGCUGUCUUCCUCUUCAUAUUUGGCACCAAUGACCCUGCUCCACAACAAUUGUUUGUCAUUGGCAUAUCUCCAUAACCACUCCAUUCUUAGAGCUUUGCUUUGAAAUUUCAGAUUCUUUGUCAUUGGUACCCUUUCUUUUCUUUGUUUCCCUGCCACAAAAUCUCUCUCCUAGUGUUGUCCAACCUUUUGAUAACCCUGGUAGGAUGGGAAAUAAAGGCAUCAUAAAAGUUGGGAAAGCAUCAAGGACUAAAUUAAUGAGAGUGAGUCUUCUUCGUAAGGAGAGGUAUUGAGUUUUCCACCUGGCUAGCUUUUUUUCACACUUCUCUAUCACUCUAUCCCAUAUUUCUAUAGAUUCAGAUUUAGAUUUAGCCCCAGAGGUAGUCCCAAGUGAAUUGUUGGCAGACUGCCAACUUCUCCAUCAUGUAUAGCAGCUAGCAGUUCAUGUUGGUGACUUCAUUUAUAGGAUACAUUAGGUUCUUCCUCUAAAAUCUUUGUUGCUUGGACUCUCUGAAAUUGUUGCCGCACUCGUUGACAUUUUUGAAAAAUCUGAGCAACAUAGACUAAAAUACCUACUCCAUUCCUACUCCUCAAACUUCCUGAGUACCUUAUCUUGUACACGACUAUAUCCCUAGUCUUAGUUCCUACCCAUUAGGUGUCCUAAACCCAAGGUAUAAAGAUCUUCCUUCUCUUAAGAAUAAUCACCAACUCUAUUGACUUCCUCGCCAAUGUUCCUAUGUUCCAAGACAGAACUCUCAACCUAGGAGUUCCCUUGGUACCCUUACCACCCCUGCCCUCACCCCAAAUCAUUGACAUGACUUUUAACUACCAUCAGAUCUUUUGAAGCCACUAACGCCAGUACAGAAUAAUCAAGUGGGGCAACCCAUAACGUCAAAUCCCUAAAUGCAAAAGUGGCAGUCACACAAUACAAUGAAGAAACUAAAAAGAAGCAAUAAACUAUAGCAAAGAUACCAGUUUAAAGUAGGAACCAAGAAAAUGUAGUAAUAUUCACAAGGGCACAAUAAUAAAUUCAUAAACACAAUAUCAGAUUUAAGGAAAUUAGUUAACAAUCAAGCAACAAUAAGGGUCUGAACAAUCUGUCGGAAAAAUCAGGUCUAGAUAAGACAGGAAAAUAUAUAAAAGGGGUGGUGGGAUCAUACCUAGGAGAUGACGGGGAUAAAAAAAACUAUGGACUGAUUUUCUGAAAUCCAGCGAGCUCCGAUAUAUUCCUUUAGUCUGUCGGUCGUCGGUCAUCAGGAUGGGGUAGCUGGAUUCUUGCUGACCGGUGGUGGUAGUGCAACAAAAAAAAACAGAGAAAGGGAGAAAGAAAGACGGCAGGGAGAUUUCGUACCUGGUCGCCGGUGGUGGUGGGAGGUCAGGCCAGAGGCUUGCAGUGGAGGAGAGUAGUGGAUGAUCCGCUUGGGCAGGGGGGGGAGGGAAUUAUUUUACUGUUGAGCGCUAGAAAAAAAGAUAGUCCCUGUUGAAUAUUAUACAGUUUACCACUGUCAGAUUAGAUGAUAGCGUUCCUCCUUAAAAUAUCAUGCAUAUAAAUGCAGUCUGCCAAGAGGUGAACUAUUUUGCAUGGUUCCUUAACACAUCAAGCAAAUCCUUUUCAAUCUUUCCACCAUCAAGCUAGUUCAACUAUGUUGUAUGGUUCCAUAAAAUGGUGAUGAAAAUGUGUAUAUAAAAGCAUUUGACACAUCCUAAAAGUCUAUAUAUGUUUCACAGAAAGAUAUUUACUCUAGUUUUGCCAAAAGAUAUUCCCCGCUAUACGUACUCUAGUUUCGUGACGCUUUUGUUCUCGUGCAGUACAUUCUAAACCUUUUACAGAAAAUCUUAAUUGUCAAUGAUCAUUGCGCUUUAGUUUCUGAGAUAAGUUACCUGUAAGAUUUUAUUCAUAUUUUGUCCCAUUUAAAUGCUAAUUAAUUGUGAACUCAAACAGAAACCCCCCUAUGGACACCUGGGCCAACUGCAAAACCAGUGCUCUGCAAUGCAUGUGGAUCAAGAUGGGGAACUAGGGGGACACUAGAUGACUAUCUUCCCAAACAUGCAGGCAAAGGAAAACAGAGCUAUCAGUUACCUUCGGAAAUGAAGACGCAUCUCAUAGCUCAUGAUGACCAAAAGAUGGAAGUUGGCGAAGAGGUUUCUGGACAGGAUGGCUCUUCAGCUUGUCUUGAAGAGGAAAUGAUUAACAUAUCAAGCUUAGGUUCAGCAGGAUCAUCCUCAGAUAAAUUCAUGCAGAUGGAAGAAACAAAUGGUAAAAAAAAUUCACUUAUAUAAAUAUGAUGGACUUGACCUCCACCAUCUCUUUUGACUCUUGCUACCUCCUCUC